rnacentral:lncRNA from 1 species
UAGUUUAAUUAAUUAAUUCUACAAAGCCAUGUUGCAUACGCAGCAUGGAACAAAAGUGAAAAGGUAUUGUGUAAUGAUUUGGGAUCUGAUAAAUCAUUCCAGGAUUUUAAAACGAAAUGGUAAAUAGAUUGCAGUAGAGACUAGAGAGAAAAUCAAAUAUGAAUUUUGAUUUAACAAAUACAAAAUAAAGGCUGGAAUAGACGAGAAGACCAUACUAACUUGGUCUGAUCUGCAGAUAACAUCACUAAUUUCUGGAAAGAAAAAGGAAUAUCACUAGACAAGUUAUUUUAUCAAAUUCUGCAUCUUCUUUCUUAGAAGCAUCAUUAUGAAUUUCUACGUGUUUCACUGCUUUAACAUUUUUACCAUCAUGAAAAAUCUUUUCAAGAAACCAUCUCACAUGGAAGAUUUCCAUAAUGUUCCUCAUAUAUAGUUUUUUUUUACUGUUAAUCUUUCUCAUAUAUAGUUCAUCUGCUAACUCCUACUUUGACGACCAUCUAACCAUAAGGGGACAAUGGAAUCCUUCUGCAAGUUACAGAAAAAAGGAUGAUCCAGUUCUCCACCAACUUACCUCGAUGAAAUAACUGAUGCGAAAAGGCAUGCGUUGAAAUGGUACUAAGAGCCCGUUCUUCUUUAAUAGAUUAAAAGUAACUAAUAAGAAUGAAAAGUACUUCUAAAUGUUGAAGCUAAUUUUAUAAAUAACUUCAGGAUUCUUUGCAUUUGGAUAGAAGUCCCAAGACUGAUAAUAAGCAGUUGGUUUUCUGGGUAAAAAGCGCUAAUAAGCACUUUGUCUUGGUAAAUUAAAAUUAAAAAUAUUACUCAUGGAAAAGGGCAAAUGGCGAAAAUGAACUGGAGAGGAAGGGGGUUUUGUUUUCGGAAGUGUAUUUCAGGGAUUACAAAAAUAAUAGAGAUAAAACAGUAAAAUAUUUUGUAAAACCAAAAGCGCUUAUAAGCUGAAAGCUAUAAAUUGGGGGUCACCAACCUAUCACUUAAUUAUAAGUACUUGGCUUAUAGGCACUUUUGGCGUUUACCAAACAAGUAGAAAAGUCAAAAAGUGCUUACAAGCUGGUUUAACCUUUUUAUAAGCUUACCCAAACACCCUCUAAAGCUCUCAUGGAUAUGCAUUGUCCUCCACAAUUUCACACAGAGAGAUUCGAAAGGAGGAUAAUAGAAGAGAAACAAAAGAUAAAGAACCAUUGACAUAUUCGCGUUCUUAACAGAAGGCAUGCCUUUCCCGACCCACAAAAAGAAGGCAGCAUCCCUCAAGAAUCAACAGAUAACGUAGCAGAAACUAGGAACUAAAGUCUCUUCAUAUGAAAAAGAGGAGUACACAUUUCAUAAGAGCAUGUUUACAAUAACAAAGUCUUACCAGGGACAUUACUGGAUUGCCACAGUUUUCAAAAGGAAAUUUGCUAUCAGAAUCAAGGUUUUCAGUGCUUGGUCCUGUAUCAUAAACGGAUAAAGGACGAGAAUAUUAGAGCUUCAGUGUUGUGAUCAUACGAAAAAGGAAAUGAGAAAAGUCCACUGUCUCACCUGCAAGAUUCCCGUUCAAAUUUGAAUAAGAUUUGUUAUGAUCUUCACCCGCAAAAGAACUUGAGGGACCAGAUGCACCUGGAAGUUCAAUAUUUUCCAAUGGGGCACCAUCCACAGGCAGGCGGACAAAAUGAAGGAUGCACUGUGCCUUUGACUUGGUGCCAACAUGUUCUGCAAUUUGAUUCCAGUUUUCAUUGUAGAGUUGCAUUCCCUCGAGAAGCAAUAGUGUUUCCUGGUCAGUCCAAGUAUCUCCAUCUAGAUCUCCAUAAUCUUUCAUAGAGCUUACUUUGACGAAAUCCAAGCUAGAGUGACCAGUGACAAAUCCACCCUCGUGGAAGCAAUCCAAACACAAUAGAAUAUCAAUCUGUCAAAGAAAAUGCAAGUCAGCUUUGAAUGCAUCCACUCAAAAUAUUCAUCCAAAGUCAUGUAAUCGCAUGCCUAUGUGCCAAAUGAAGGGCAAACUUUUUUAGUUGCACAUAAUAUCUGCUCCAAAUAAUGUCGCAGAGAAAAAAUUUCAUAAUCUCAUAUAUAUCCUUUUUUGCUAGCAAGAAAGGUUCUUAGACUAUUGCUUUUCCCUUCUUUUUGUUAACCUUUGGCAACUUCUUUUCUGAAACACUGGUAACCCCUACAGCAUUCUAACUUACCUGUUCAAUGAUGACAAUUUUGAAAGGAUGCUGGAUUUCAACACAGUAUCACCAAUUAUAUUUGGCCGACUGCUAUACAAAGAAAUAGAUUAAGCAUAAGCACGUGUAUAACUGCCAUGCUGCUUUUUAUAUGAAACUAAAAUCAAACAGUCCAAGUUCAUAUCAAUCGGAGCAGGUUCAUAUUGGUUAGCCUAAUUCAUCGACGGGAAGCUAAAUACAGGGUAAGUUUUGCUUUUGUCUGGAAAUCAAGUAAAGGCAUCAAAGGACUUCGAAUUGGAAAUUUACCACACACUCUCUCUCCCCACCGUUUGACCUCGGCUUAACUUGGAGGCACAGAAAGGAGAAAACUUAAGAUCACUGUACUCUAAUAUGCUGCAAUUGCACACAGUAUACUAAUGCUCAAGACAACUGUUGAAAAGCAUGUACAUCUAAACCAACAUUAGGAAGCGAAGUAUUAAUUAACCAAAUACUUAAGUUAUAUGGAGUAGAAGGAUGAUCCAAGAGCUAUGGAUAUUCAGAGGAGAAUUAGUGUCUUCGAUGGUAGACUAAAAGAAAAUCCAUAAAUGGCAAAAACAUUUGAGGAAGAAAACAGCUAUAGUGGUAGCAACAUUUAAGAAAAUAACAAGUACAAGCAAAGACAACAGUAUGUGUGAUAUACCUCUUUCUGUGACUGAUAGUACGACAGUGAAACAGGGCGAGAACAACAAUUGCAUCGUAGUUCAGACAACAGUUCACGGAUUGAGUUGUCAAAGUCGGAGUCAUCAUCAAAAUCACGCACAAGUUCAGGAUAAACAUCUCUCGCCUUGAGACAACAUUUAGGCUUGUCAAACUGAACUAAGCUGUCGAUAGACUUCAAACCAGCCACUGGAACACAGAGAUCACUGUUUGAGUCCUCGUACAAUGUGACAUCUUUUAGGGCCUCACCUUUAGGAGGAACAGCACAGUAGUUGAUGAUCCCCCAAUGAUCAAGAAACCUUGCAAUUCGAGUUACAUCAUCAGCACUAACACCAGCUACAACCCCAUGGCAAUCAGCAACUGACAAGUGCUUUUCAGGCAACUCCAUAUACUUUGCAACUAUACAAUUUCUGCAUUCCAUGUAUUUUUCUGGUGUAUGUUCAGCUGACUUUCCAGAGAAAAAAUGCGGCACCACUUGUCUUUCCAAUCUGUGCACUGUAUUAGGUGAAAACCAAUCUGCUUGCAGAAGAAGGAAUACAAAGGGUCAAAUUAGACAGAGAUCUGAGAGCAAAAACAACAAUACAUAAAGAAGAUUAAAGUACGCAGAUCUCAACAAGUAAGAAAAAACAAAAAUACAUAGAAGACAUACCAGUACAAAGAUCUCAAGCACUAACGGACCUACAAAUGGAGACCAUGAGCAACACAGACAAUGACAUUGAUUUCAAGAACAAAUCGAUAGGUGGUCUAAGAGGUACAGCAAUGGAGCAUUAAGCUGCUAAUCUAGUCUCAAAAGUGAAAGAGAAUAUAAUCCAGAUACAAAUCCAAGAAUGCUACUCUUUGUCCAUAUAUUUGUUGUUCAUGCUUAUAAUUAUGAGUCUUGGACUACAAAUACAUAUUUGUAUUUUUUCUCCAUUUGCGCCUUUCUUCAUUAAAGUCCAUGCUUUAUUUGCGCUUUGCGCUUAAAGCUCCAAUGGACCUUAGAGCUCUUUCAGCACUUUUCGCCUUCUGGUGUACCUAACUAAGGGGCAGCCUUCUUAUUCUCUGACGGAUUCGCCUCGCAGUGUAGACAAAUUUGUCAAAGACUGCUGAAAUUUAAAAAAAAAAAGAAUUCUUAAGGCAAACUAUUUCUAUAGCAUACUGGUACCUGCCACUCUCUUCGUGGAAAAAAUCUAGGCAAUUCAAGAUAGCUAUUAUUUUAACCCUGUAAGAACGCAUGAUAUUAAUUUGGUAAAGCCCAUGCGAAAAUUUUUACAAUGGUAGAAAAUGGCAGAGAAAAUGAUCAAAAUGGUCCUUAAUGUAUUGGGGUUGGUGUAUUUUGGUCCUUGAUAUGUGCACCCUAAUGGAUAUGGUCCUUAAUGUAUAGAAAAAAUGUAUCAUUUUGGUUUUUAACCCUAAAAGCUAACAGAUUUGUUAAAAGUUCUGUUAAGUUUAAUCCUUUGAAAAAGAAGAGGAAAGCUAGCCUCAUCUCUGUCAGCUCCGGGGUAGGAGCUCCAUGAAACCAAACCCCUCCCUUUUCACUGUUAGGGAAAGCUCCAAAUCUCAGCUAUCGACCAUUUUAUUUUCUCGCAUACAUAAAAGAACAUACCUUUAAGUUUUGGGGAAGGAAUUUACGGGCUAUUUUUUUUUGGAUAAGAUCAAAAUUGACCGCAGCAGAUCUGGGUAUCAAGAAGUUCUAGCAAAUGACUCUUGUUUGUUUAGCAAAAGUUAAAAAAUUUAAUAACCAACCCAAACAUUUCUAGGAAAAACAAAAUAUUGAAAUAAAAUUAAUCAUUUGCAAAAAAACUCAAACAAACGCAAAAUUUUACAAACUCUUUUUUUGAAAAUUUUCAAACAAACGGGUGAAUGUGAGGUCUGAAGUCUUUUGAAAAGAUUCAGAAAAAGUUGUAGAGUACUUGUUAAGUUUUUUUCCAAACAAUUUUUUUGGUUGCAUAUUUUUGAAAUACUCACAAAAUACUUAUUCAUAAUUAUAAAGAAAAACAAUAAUUAGAAGAAACGUCUUUGUUCUGCAGAAAUAUUCUUUAAUUCCCAAAAAUUUCUAAGAAUCUUUACAGAAAUAUCAUUUAUCUCAAACAAAGUAUAAGGUGUGUGCACUUAUUUCAAUAUGGUUGGAUCUCUAAUUCUCUGUUGAUUUACUAAAAUGGUGGGAGCUUCAAUUCUUCAUUUAUUUGCUAACAAAAAAAAAAGGGACAACACGAGCAAGAAACAAAUGGAAUCAUUUUGUUAUCUUUUUAUAUAUAUAUCAGGAUAGUGCUUUAGUCAUUGUCUUCUUUAAUAGGCUUCCAAAUCUAUGAAACAAGGUUUCUUCUCCUUCCGAUUUUGUCGCUUACUGAAGGUCUAUCUGUUGAUGGCUCUUUCUUCACUAAUUUCGUGGAGCUCCAUUGCCGUAGCUCAUCAUAGAGAUGAGACUGGGUUUUUUUUUUGUUUUGUUUUGUUUUGAAGGGUUAAACUUAACAGCACUUUUAACAUAUUUGUUAGCUUUUAGGGGUGAAGAUCAAAAUGAUACACUUUUUCUAUAUAUUAAGGACGAUAUUCAUUAGGGUGCAUAUAACAGGGACCAAAAUAAACUAACCCCAAUACAUUAAGGACCAUUUUGAUCAUUUUCUCGAAAAUGGCACAUGCUAAGCUUUUUUUUUUUUUCACCCCUCCCAAAUAAAUUAACUUCGCUUAGUAUUUUAAGUAAAUAAAUUAACUCUUGUACUCCACAUCCACACAUGCAAAUCUUAGCAUUCUUGUCUUUAGUUCAGUAAAUUUCCUCUAGCAUCUAUUUCACAAGUAUGCACCAACAUUAUACUUGGACAUUAAAGUACAAAAGAGGAUCCAAGUUCUUGUUUUUUUCCGAUUCACAUGGUAAGAUUGGAAGGUUAAUGAAUCCAUAGAGUACUAAAUAUCCUAAAUCUUGCAAGGAGAAAGCCAAGCUAUAAAUGAUAUUUAGUUGGACGGAAGACAAACUUUUCCACCGUGUAGUACCUGAUAAAUUUGUAUUCCUCUGUUUUGCUUAGCUAAUAACGGAAAGAAACUCAUAUUCUUCCUGUGAGAUAUCACAUACACCUCUUCUGACCUAUCAAAAUAUGCUAUAAGAUCCACUACUCCUGGUGAAGAACCUUACCAAAGUGACGUGGUUUGGUGGUUUUAUUCGUUUACAAUCUUCAAACAAUAAGGGCAGCAAUACUCAAAAGAAAGUGAAAGGGAAUUCAUAUAAUCACAACAAGUCUCUAUAUCAAGAGUCUUUCAGGGUCCUAGUGCCAGCGCCCAGCAAGCAGUGUGAUCUGACAGGUGAGCAUUUACCUUCAAUAACCCUAGAUACUACGGUCAAAAAUUGCUCCAUCUCCUAAAGUUUAGCAAAUUAGGAAGUUAUUAAAAUCCAAUGGUCACAAUUGUCCAUGGGGAAAUGCAACUCACUUUUUUCCGAAAUUAGUUAAGUCCUGACAGAAUUUAACUCUAACUCAUACACCAUAGUCUAUCCUUUCUUGUUCAAAAUCAUUAUUCACCAGCAAAAAAGUAUUUUGGUACUUAAAAGAAAGGUUCCAGCUAGUAAUGAAAUGAUAUAAAAAAAAUCUCUUCAUCAGCACAUUGUAUGAUGAUUACCUGCGUGCAUUGGCACAACAUGAAUUCGACUUGCACUGCCAUAAUGCUUAACCACACCACGACCCUGCAAUAUCUGCGGAGGACUGAUCACAUACGAACCACCCCCACUGCCUUCUCCUCUUUCCUCAGUCAACAAAGCCGGACUAUCUGCAGGCACAGCUGAAAGCGCCUGAAGCUGCCCAUACGACAUAUUCUCCAACACCACCCCAUUCUGCCUACUCUCCCCACACUGCCCAGCCUUCUCAGUCGCUACAAUAUUCAGGACGGACGAAUGAGGCCGAGUAACAGUACGUCUAACUACUAAAGGGAACUCGCUAAUUCGGUCCCCAGCUUCUGAUACCAUUUCAACUGAGUAAUUACUCCGAUCCACUGAAUUGCUAGGGUUUCGAUGGUCGUCAUCUUCAAUUUCCUGCUGGUCAAUAUCUUCCUCGUCUUCUUCUUCUUCAAACACGUCAUCAUCUUGUUGGGCCUUGGCCUUCCUUGAAAUUAAAGGCUCCCGCUUCCGCCUCCUCCACCUAUUCCUCGUCUCUAAAAAAUUAACAACAAAUUACUAGUUAAUUUGUAACACUCGGAUCCGUUAAAUAACUAAUUAUAGUACACAAAUCAACCAUUUCCAAAUCAAAUUAAUAAAAUGCUUUAAAAUAAAAACUAAAAUUAUAGAAAUUUAAAAGAAAUGGGGGGGUUUUGUGAGCACCUGAGGAGGAAGCAGGCAUUGCUGAGAAAUUGGGGGGUUUGGGUCCUGAGAAAUUGGGGUUUAAAGGGAGAGAAUUGUGGGGUCUGAGAUUGGUUGUUGCUUUUGGAGAGAGAAAAUUGGGGGAAAAGGGAUUCUUCUCUCUGCUGCCUUCGGAUGAUAAUUUGUGAGCUCUUUUUGGAAUUUCGCAGCUGUGUUUCCACAAAAAUAUAAUUGUUUUAGGCAAUAUCUUUGCUGGUAUAGCCGUGCGAAUUCACGCGCUUCAAUCCAGAGACUGAAGAAAAAAGAUGUACGCGCCGAGAGUAACGUAAAGGUGGUUGUUUUUCCUUUUCGUUUUCCUUUUUCGAUGAUUGAUGCCAAAUACACACCCGUAUUUGUAUGUAAUUCUGUUUUUGACCCUCACAAAAGAUUCAAACGAGUAUAUUUUCUUCUCGUGAUUUUUCAUACACGUCAUAAAUAUUUUAAUCUAUUAAUUAUUAUAUUUUAUAUAAUAUUUAAAUUUUAAAAAAAUUAUGUUCAAAUUUGCCAUCAAAAUUAUAAAGUUUGACUCUCAAAAUCCAAACUGCGUUACAUAAAUUGAGAUGCAACGAGUAUUUUAAUUCAACUUAGCGAAAUGAACUCUAAAUAGUUAACGCAAUAAAUUUACAUUUAAGUAAAGGAAUAUUCCAUUGAUAUCUUCUUCUUGCGACUUUUCUCUCUCUACAAACUCUCGGCGUACUUUAGGGUGACUUACUAACCUACGCCACCAGCGAUGGGAGGGAGAGGAAGGCCUAAGAAAAGCAAUACGAAGGUUCAGGUAGCAGAAUACAUUGCAUCGGCGAGUUGAAAUGGGGAAUUAGGAAAAUCGACACUAGUUCAAGGAACCCUAAUUCGUGAAAAGGGGGCGACUACCCCCAAAUCAAUGGAUAUUUCAAUGACGACUUCACCAGGUAAAAGUAGGAAUUUGAAUUCACGGUACAUGAUUAAACAAGUUGAAAUUCAACAGCUGAGGUGCCGAAUUUGAACAAUUGGGGGAACAAAAAUGAUGAAGGAGCGAAUACCGAUGUUGCUAAUAUUGGGAAGCAAUUGAUUACAAUUGAGAAAAAUUCUGGCAAAAAAACCACAAAUAAGGCAAUAUGAACACAAUUGCAAUUGAAUGUGAGCUCUAAGGAUGACAUGCAAUGUUCGUCAGGGAAAGAAGUAAGUAUAGAAAUUGGAGUCUUUGGGAUUCAGGCGCCCAAAACUAUUGGUGGAACACCUGCUAAUGGAGGUAACUUCUGGGCUAAUCUGGUCGCUGGAAAUACAUUUGUUGCUAGGGGGAUGGGGCUUACAUAUGUCGCACCAAUGAUUCAAAAUGGUGAGAAAAUAGUUGAGCUACAACAAGCUGAAGUUGAAAAGGAAACAGAGAAGUGGAAGAUGGCAGUAAUUUUGUAUGUGGUUAGAGAUACACUGAGUAUUGGAGCUAUUGAACGCUUCAUUACCUCACAGUGGAAUUUUAUAGCUAAAACCGGGAGUGUAUUACCAAAAUGAUGGAUUCUUUAUGGUUAAAUUCAGAAGUGUAGAAGAUAGGAAUGAAGUGUUGUACUCAACCCCUUGCAUAAUCGGUAGUAAGCUAGUAAUUACGAGGCUUGGACUCCUAAUUUUGACAUCAAAGAAGAGGUAUUGAAAACACUCCCCAUAUGGGUUAAACUGUCUAGCUUGCCACUGAAUUGCUGGGGAAUGGAUUCACUGAGUCGUAUAGGAAGUGGGCUGGGGAAUCCAAUCUAUGUUGAUGAGUGCACAACUAAAGUAGAGAGGAUCUCUUACGCCAGAAUUCUCGUGGAAAUGGACAUCACCAGGCCAUUGCCUAUGGAAAUAACAGUUAAAGAUCCAAAUGGAAGACAAUUUGAGCAAGCAAUUACUUAUGACUGGAAGCAUGUGUAUUGCAACACCUGUUUACAAUUGGACCACAGUUGCCAAGACAAGAUACCGUAGCAACUAUUGGUCUAGUCACAGAAGCAGAAGCAGGAAUGGAAGCCAAGGGAACAGGGCAACCCAGGGUCCAAAAAGGAUGAUGCACAAGUAGUUAUGGGGACAGGGAACCAGGGACAAAUCAAACUAGGCAAAUACUAAAUCCUAUACAAAAAACACCAGCUGAGAAGAAUGAAGGAUGGCAAGCAGUUAGAGGGAAGUCUGCUAUUAAGAGUGCCCAAGCAACUACAGAAAGAGUAGUAGUAGUGGGUAAUGGUUUUAUUGUACUCACUGAGACAUGUCCUAACCAAAUAAGCAGUACAACUAGUAGGGUUGAAGGAGGACAAUGUAGUCACAAGGGUGUCCUGGAGGAUGGUUUUCCAGACAAACUAUUCUAAGUUAGUUGGAAUGUUAAAGGCUUAAAUAAAGCCUAUAAGCAAAAGGAGAUGCAAAGGUAUAUUAGGGAACAUACUAUUAGUAUGAUGGCUAUAAUAAAACAUAGAGUACAAGAGAAGUAUUCUCAUAAAAUUGUACAAAAAAUAGCUCCUAAGUGGGAAUGGUGUGCAAACUAUGAUGUUGGUGGUAAAGGCAGAAUAUAGAUUCUCAGUUUGUUCAUGGGGAGGCACUCAUAUAUGCUACUAGACAAGAAUUUACUUUCACAACUAUAUACGGCCUGCAUACAAUAGAGACAAGAGAAAAUUUAUGGAUAGAUUUGUUAAGUUGGAGUCACUCUCAACUAAAACCUUGAUUGUGUAUGAGUGACUAUAAUGUUAUAUUAUAAGUGGACGAUAGAAUCAAUAGAAGUCCAAUUCAGAAAGUGAAAUAAGAGACUCCAAUGAAUUCUUGAUAGUUGCUAGGAUGUCUGAAAUGAGAACAGUGGGAAGGAACUUUACAUGGACUAACUCCCAUAUGUUUAGUAGAAUAGACAGAACGAUAGUGAAUACAUAAUGGGUAACUAGUAUGCCCCAACUGGAUGUUGUGAUUAUGGAUCCCUUUUGCUCAAACCACUCUCUAUGUGUGUCAAAUUUGGGGAUGAACUAACGGCCUCUAAGUCGUGUAGAUUCUCUAACUGUUUGGCAAGGCAUAAAGAUUUUUUACCAAUAGUUGUAGGAGUUUGGAACAAGCAUUAGCAAGUGAAACAUAUGUAUGGGGUCUAGAGAAAGCUGAAGAAAGUUAGGAAAGAGCUAAAACAGUUAAACACAACUGAAUUUAAAGCAGUAGAUGUAAAGGUCAGGACUAUUAGACAAAAAUUACAUGAGAUGCAAGAACAAAUGAGAACUACCAACUCACCAACAGAGUUCUUUGAUGAGGAGAAGAAACUGAAGAAACAACUAGAUAAAUGGGUUAACAUAGAGGAUAUCAUGUAUAAGCAUAAAUCUAGGAACUGGGUUGAAUUGGGAGAUUCUAAUUAUGCUUUUUUCUUUGCCAGCAUGAAGAAUAGAGUAAGUCAAAACAAAAUCAGAAGCCAGAUGACCAAUACAUGAGAGAUAGUAUAGUCAAUAGAAGCAAUAUAAGGGGAAAUAGUGCGGUUCUGCAAGGGUUAAUGGGUUCCUCUGCAGAUGUUAUACCAGUUAUACAACCAUGCAUUAUGAAAGAAGGAAAGGUUCUAGAAAGAGGCCAGCAGUUGAAACUAAUUGAGCUUAUCACUAUAAAGGAGGUUCACAAUGCACUACAAGGGAUAGAUGAUUUAAAGGCCAUAGGGUGUGAUGGUUUCAACUCAAUAUUCUUUAAGAAAACAUGGGGCAUCACAUGCCAGGAGAUUGACAACUAGGGAUUUUAGCCUAUUAUUUGCUCUCUUUUGCUUAGGUUUUAGGUUAAAAAAAGCUAAAAGGUAGUCCCGAAAACUAACAUAAUGUGCUUGCUUGCAGGGUUUGAUCAAAAUGAGGCAAAAAAGCCAAAAUAAGCUCAUGAAGGAGUCAAACUUACACAAGCCAAAGGCUGAAACUGAACUGCAGACCGCGAUAGAAAAGCGCGAUCGCGUAGGGUUUAUCGCUGAGGCGGAUAAUAUUCCGCGGUCGGCAAGAUAGAGGUUUAGAGAAGCUGCAAUCCAGAGAAAACACCACCGCUGACCGCGCUACAAAAGCGCGGCCGUGAAACCAGUGGCGCGACUGCGAGGGAAAUUACGUUGGGAGCGUGAUAAAAGGUUCAGAGACUUGGCAAGUGAAACCUAACUGAAGAACGUGGUCUGCGAACAUAAUACACGGCCGCGAUUAAAGCUAACGCGGACACAAAUGCAUUUAUGCUGUCCGCGAAACCUAGUCCAGUCCAAGCCCAGUAUUGAAGAAACGUGGACCGCGCUUAUUAUUAUGCGGCCGCGAAAGCUCAAGCGUGAACGCGGUUAGAAUUACGCGUCCGUGAAUCCUCCGUAGGGGUAUUUUUGUCUAAAAAUUUUAGUUGUGUAUAAAUAAAUCUUUUUGACAUUUUUAGGGUAAGUUUUGCAGACCAGAGCACGUGAACGGCUGAUUUUUUCCCUUUUGGGCAAUUUUAUAUUAGAUUUACCUUCAAAUUUUAGAUUUUCAUCUUGUACUUUAAUAUUAUGGCUUAUACUUCAUCUUUACCUUUGAUUUCUGCUGUAUUCAUGAGUAGCUAGACCCCAUAGCUAGGGUGGUGACCCAAUUCUAGUGUGGGUAUUUAAUGAGUCUUGAAUUUUAGGGCUUAAUUAUUUAUGGGUUAGUGAUAUUUAGCCUAAUUCAUGCUAAAAUUAUAGAAUUAGCGGUUGCAAACACUGAUUCAUGCCUUUAUGACUUAGGCUCUACUUGAGAAAGAGAGACUAUGUCUAGAAAAAUUAGGCUAACAAGGAAAUGGGGUGAACUCAAGAGAUUGAUAGCCCCGAUUAAAGGGUUAAACCUAGAGAUAGUAAUACCCGACUUGAGCCAAUUUCAUUUGGAUUGUACGAACACCCAUUUGGGCUUGAGAAACCCAAAUCAGGCAAAGUCACUCAAACUUCCGAGAGGUCUAGAGUGAGCACUUAUGUGUGAUGGUUAUAUCACGACCCCAAUCGUAAUAAGCUUGUCCUAAAUUCUUGACACCCAUUAGAUACUCACAUAGGCGGAAGUCACUACCCUAGUGCCUUUUAACACUUGAAAACUUUCACCAAAUAUAUUGUACAUAGCUUACACUUGGCAUACAAUAGUAUAAAAAUUAGAAUAGAAUCAAUCACAACAAUUUUUGGAAGUGCAAUUAGAAAUAACACGCACAUCUAGAUUAGUUAGAUACCCGACUCCAAAUGAAAUUAACUCCUUGUGGAAAUCGAUCCCGACCUCAUCGGGUAAAACUAUAUUGACCACUCUUUGCUACUAUAUAGUGGUGUAGGUUUGGCCCAAUCACUUUUUUGGCGCCAUUGCCGGGGAGUUAGACGGUGUUGACUAUCUAUCUAACUAUUUAUGUGUCUUGUUUGUUUUUUCUUUCCUUCUAUUUUUCUAACUUUUGUGUAUCUAUCGCUUUAGGUACCAAAUGGCUCAUAAUGAUGCUCUCAGACAUAUUCUUCCGGGGGAGGAGGUAGAUGACAAUGGUGAGGAUGAGGUUAGUUUAGAACCUCAAGUCCAAAGAAGAGGCCUCCAGGCAAAUGACAACAUUCCAAACCCUCCCCCACCUCCUCCACGGGCAGCACACCGGGUGCUACCCAAUGAAGGUUAUGCAAGUGCAAUUGUCCCGCCCCGGAUUCAGGCGGGCAAUUUUCAAAUUACAAAUAUCAUGCUGACCCUAUUGGAGUAAAAGGGGCUUCUUCACUAGAGCUCCUCAUCAGAACGCAUACAAGCAUCUAAAGGGGUUUGUAGACACGUGCUGGGGGAGCAAGCAGACAAAUGUGUCGGAGGACGCUAUGAGAUUGAGACUUUUCCCAUUUUCACUUAGAGGGAAAGCUUUGGACUGGCUUGAGAGGCUACCCAACCACUCCAUACACACAUGGGAUGAGUUGGCAGAAAAGUUUACAGCAAAAUUUUUCUCACCGGGUCAUAUGGCAACAUUGAGGGAUGAGAUAUUAGCCUUUAAACAAGAACCUAAUGAACCCCUACAUGAAAUCUGGGAGCGAUGCCGGACAAUGUUCAAGGAAUGCCCAAAUAAUGAUAUGAUUGAAGCAAUGAUUCAGCAGACAUUCUAUAGGGGCAUCAACACGACCAACCAGUGUGUGGUGAAUCAGCUAGCUGGGGGAAAUUUUAUGAAGACGCCUUAUGCCAAUAUAUGUCUGGAAUACAAGUUAGACAGAAAAAAAUAUAAAUAACUCUGAUGGAGAUUCUGUAGGUUGCGGAUCGUAACAUAGAAUGCAGCUCACAGUAAAGUCCCCGAAAUGGCCGAGCCUCGACGCCCAAAGACCACCAGACAUAUGUGUAUCUGCACAAAAGUGUAGCAAGUAUAGUAUGAGUACGUAAAUCAACGCGUACCCAGUAAGUAUCUAGCCUAACCCCAGAGAAGUAGUGACAGGGGGUUGACAUCGACACUUACUAGUGGUCCAAUAAGACGUAUACAAUAUAAGUAAACAAUUGUGAAUCAGAGGAAGUAAACGAAGUAACAAGCAUAAUAUGUGAUACAAUCAUCCUCUCACCAAUAACUCAAACUCUCAGCUAGUAGCUACCUCCUCUAUCACGACCCAAACUCCCUCUGUAUAACGUCGUGACGGCACCUAGUUUCUACGACUACGUAAGCCUAAUAAAUUUUGAAAAUAACAAAACGAAAGUAAAACUUGGCAACUAACAGGAGUGGAUAACUGAAUAACUAGUAAAAAUGUCACUCGGCAUGUAUAAUAACCAAUACUCUAUAGAUACAUAAUCUUCCCAAAAUCCGGAACAUCGUAAGUCACAAGCUACAGAAGAGAACUAGUAUUUCUAUACACCAGUCUAAUAAAAGAAGUACGGAAGGUAAAUGCCAUAGGAGAGAAUAGAGGAGGACUCUGAGGUCUGUGGACGCGGCAGAUGUACCUUAAAGUCUCCGUACAGCAACAAGCACUCUCAGCUAAUAGCAGGGAUGAUAAGAAGUACCUGGAUAUGCACACAAAAAUGUGCAGAAGAGUGGCAUGAGUACACCACAACGGUACCCAGUAAGUGCCAGGCCUAACCUCGGUAGAGUAGUGGCGAGGUCAGGUCCGGGCCCUACUGGAUAUAAUAAUAAGAUAUAUGAUAUAAUAAAAAUGAAGUAAAAUGGAGGAUUUAACAGAAAUAAUUCACAGGGAAAUAACAACACAGCACAAUGUGAUAACAACAUGGGCGCUCCCGAGAUACCAUCUCAUAGUCCCAAAAAUAAAUACUCAACAGGGGAUCUCCCGAGAUACCGUCUCGUAGUCCCAAAAGUAAAUAUGCGAGGAGAUCUCCCGAGGUACCGCCUCGUAGUCUCAAAAGUAAAUGUGCAGGGGGAUCUCCCAAGGUACCGUCUCGUAGUCCCAAAAGUAAAUAUGCGAGAAGAUCUCCUGAGGUACCGCCUCCUAGUCUCAAAAGUAAAUAUGUAGGGGGAUCUCCCGAGGUACCACCUCGUAGUCCCAAAAGAAAAUAUACAGGGAGAAAUCCCGAGGUACCGCAUCAUAGUCUCAAAAGUAAAUAUGCAGGGAGAACUCCCGAGGAAACCACCUCGUAGUCUCAAAAGUAAACACACAGCUCAAACCAGUAAAUACAACAGUUAACAACAAGAUUUUUACAGUUAAUACUGAUAAAGAACAAGGAAAAGCAUAAAAUCAACUACGCAUGCUUCAUGGAGUUCAAAUAAGAAGUUAAAGCACGUAGACAUGCGAUGUUUGACUAAACCGGAUAACUACACAUAUUGGAAUAGCUCAAUUAAGAAUGAAAACAAACUAAUACUCAUUUAAAUGGUAUAACUCAAAUUAAAGGAAAAACAUGUUGCUACUCAGCAAAAGUAUCGGGUUUUACAACAAAUAGCGCGUAUACGCACUCGUCACCUCACGUACACGGUACUCACAUAUCACAAAAGUACCAAAUCCUAAGGGGAUUUUUCCCACACAAGGUUAGACAAGCCACUUACCUCGAACCAAGCUCAGUCAAUCGGUAACAAUGCCUUUAUCAUGAAUAUCCGACUCACAAUGGCUCAAAUCUAGCCAAAAUCAAUUACAUACCAUAAAUACAACUAUAAGAAACUAAUCUAAUUAAUGAAAUAAAAGCUAAAGAAAGAAAUUAGAAAAUCGCCAAAAAGCCUCCCCGGACCCACGCCUCGAAAUCGGGUAAAAGUCACAAAAUAUGAACACCCAUUAACUCACGAGUUCAUUCGUACCAAAAUUAUCCAAAUCCGAUAUCAAAAUCAAAAUCAAAACUCAAAAACUUAGUUGAAGAACUUCUCACAUUUUCUCCAAAUUUCUAAACUAAAUUCCUUAAUCAAAUGAUGAAAACAACUAUAGAUUAGUGGAAUAUAACCAUAAACGAGUUAAGAAUCAUUACCCCAAAGUUCUCUCUGAAAAUUCCUUGAAUUAUCGCCUCAAUCCGAGCUCGCAAAGAUCCAAAAUAAAAAUGAGAUCAAACCCUCGAAAUUGACCUUUUCUGCCCAGCGAUUCCUCAUCUGCGGACUACCAGUCGCACCUGCGAUGCCGCACCUACGGAAUUUCCAUCGCAGGUGCGGAGAUGGCUUAAGGUCCAAAGAUCUGCUUCUGCGGACCAGGGCAAGCACCUGCGGUCCCGCUUCUGCGGAUGACCUUCCGCAUCUGCGACUCUGCCCAUGCCGCCCUUUUCGCUCCCGCGGUCAAUCCUCCGCAUCUGCGGAUACGCAGAUGCGGCUCCCAUUUCGCACAUGCGCUCACAGACCAAGCUUGACCAAACCGCACAUGCGGUCCUCCUUCCGCACGUGCGAUCCCGCACCUGCGGUCUCCCCUUCGCAGGAGGGAAAAUACGAGAAACCAGAAAAUCUCCAACAACUAGCCUAAGUCCAAAUUCAAUCCGUUAAACCUAUCAAACCACGUCCGAUCGACCUCAAAUUUUGCAUACAAGUCAUAAUUGAUAUUUCGGACCUACUCCAACUUUCGGAAUUGGAAUACGACCCUGAUAUCAAAAAGUCCAUUGCCGGUCAAACUUCCUAAAAAUUCAACUUUCUCCAUUUCAAGCCUAAUUCCACUACAGACCUCCAAUUCACAUUCCGGACACACUCCUAAGUCCAAAAUCACCCAACGGAGCUAACAGAACUGACGAAGCUCCCUUCCGAAAUCGUAUUCACACAAUUCCAACUACGAUCACAAUCCUAGAACUUAAGUUUUCGUUUUAAGGACUAAGUGUCCCAAAUCACUCCGAAACCACAACAAAACCUCCCGGCAAAUCACAUAAGCAGAAAAAAGAUAGGGGGAAGCAGUAAAUAGGGGAUCAGGGCUAAUACACUAAAAAUGACUAGCCGGGUCGUUACAUCCUCCCCCUCUUAAAAUAAUCAUUCGUCCUCGAACGACCAUAGAGAUAUACUUAAAGGGAUGAAAAGAUAAGGAUAACGGCUAUGCAUAUCAUGCUCGGUUUCCCAAGUCGCUCCUCGACCGGCUGACCCCUCUACUGAACCUUUACUGAAGCAAUGUUCUUUGACCUCAGCUUUUGAUCCUUCAUGUCCAAAAUAGCCACCGGCUCCUCAACAUAAGAUAAAUCCUUAUCCAACUAGACUGAGCUGAAAUCUAACACAUGGGACGGAUCGUCGUGAUACUUCCGGAGCAUCGAAACAUGGAAUACUGGAUGAACUCCUGCUAGACUGGGAGGCAAGGCAAGCUCAUAAGCAACCUCCCCAACACGUCGCAACACCUCAAAUGGGCCGAUAAACCUUGGUCUCAGCUUGCCCUUCUUUCCGAACCUCAUAACACCCUUCAUGGGUAACACCUGGAGCAGGACCCACUCUCCAACCAUGAAUGCGACAUCGCGAACCUUCCAAUCCGCAUAACUCUUCUAUCUGGACUGGGUUGUGCGAAGUCGAUCCUGAAUCACCUUAACCUUCUCCAGAGCAUCUUGAACCAAGUCUGUACCCAAUAGCCUAGCCUCGCCCGACUCGAACCAACCCACUGGAGACCGACACUGCUUAUCAUACAAAGCCUCAUGCGAUGCCAUCUGGAUGCUCGACUGAUAAAUGUUGUUGUAGGCAAACUCCGCAAGUGGCAAGAACUGAUCCCAAGCACCCCAAAAAUCUAUCACACACGCACGGAGCAUAUCCUCUAAUAUCUGAAUAGUGCGCUCGGACUGCCCGUCAGUCUGAGGGUGAAAUGUUGUGCUCAACUCAACCCGAGUACCCAAACUCAUGUUGUACAGCUCUCCAGAACCGUGACGUAUACUGCAUACCCCGGUCAGAGAUAAUAAAUACCGGUACGCCAUGAAGCCUGACGAUCUCACGGAUGUAGAUUUGAGCUAGCUGCUCGGAAGAAUAGGUAGUCAUCACAGGAAUGAAAUGAGCUGACUUGGUCAACCUAUCCACAAUCACCCAAACUGUAUAAAACUUCCGCUGAGUCCGUGGGAGACCAACAACGAAGUCCAUAGUGAUCCGCUUCCAUUUCCACUUCGGAAUCUCUAUCUUCUGAAACAACCCACCCGUUCGCUGAUGCUCAUACUUCACCUGCUGGCAAUUUAGACAUCUAGCCACAUACUCUACUAUGUCUUUCUUCAUCCUCCUCCACCAAUAAUGCUGCCUCAGGUCCUGAUACAUCUUCGUGGCACCCGGAUGAAUGGAGUACCGCGAACUGUGAGCCUCCUGGAGAAUCAACUCACGUAAACCAUUUACAUUGGGCACACAUAGCCUGUCCUGCAUCCUCAGUGCACCAUCAUCUUCAAUAGUGACCUCUUUAGCAUCACCGUGAUGAACCGUCUCCUUAAGGACAAACAGAUACUGACGCUACCUAAUACGAUCAUAAAUAGAAGACCGAGACUACACAAGCCAACACUCGACUCGGCUCAGAAAUAUCCAAUCUAACAAACUGGCUGGCUAAGGCCUGAACAUCCAACGCCAAUGGCCUAUCUGCUGCUGGUAGAUAUGCUAAGCUCCCCAAACUCUCUACCCGAUGACUCAAAGCAUCGGCCACCACAUUGGCCUUCCUAGGAUGGUACAAAAUGGUGAUAUCAUAAUCCUUAAGCAGCUCCAACCACCUCCGCUAACGCAAGUUAAAUCCUUCUGUUUGAACAAAUGCUGCAAACUCCGAUGAUAGGUGUAGAUCUCACAAGGGACACCGUAUAAAUAGUGCUGCCAAAUCUUCAAGGCAUGAAUAAUAGCUGCCAAAUCAAGGUCGUGGACAUGAUAGUUCUUUUCAUGUACCUUCAGUUGUCUGGACGCGUAGGCAAUCACCCUACCAUCCUGCAUCAACACCGUGCCGAGACCAAUCCGCGACGCAUCACAAUAUACCGUAUAAGACCCUGAACUUGUAGGCAAUACCAAUACCGGGGAUGUAGUCAAAGUUGUCUUGAGCUUCUGAAAGCUCUUCUCACACUCCUCUAUCCACCUGAAUGGAUCACCCUUAUGGGUCAGCUUGGUCAUAGGUGCUGCAAUAGAUGAGAAACCCUCUACAAAUCGACGGUAAUACCCCGCCAAACCAAGAAAACUCUGGAUCUCCGUAGCUGAGGACGAUCUGGACCAACUUUACACUACUUCAAUCUUCUUCGGAUCCACCUGGAUCCUAUCACUCGAUACUACAUGACCCAAGAAUGCCACUGAGUCUAGCCAAAACUCACACUUUGAAAAUUUUGCAUAUAACUUCUUUUCUUUCAAGGUCUGAAGCGCAGUCCUCAUGUGCUGCUCAUGAUACUCCCGAGUCCGGGAGUAUACCAGAAUGUCGUCAAUAAACACGAUGACGAAUAAGUCAAGAUAGGGCAGGAAUAUACUAUGCAUCAAGUGCAUAAAAGCUGCUGGGGCAUUGGUAAACCCAAAUGACAUCACAAGGAACUCGUAGUGACCAUACCAAAUCCUGAAAGUAGCCUUCGGGAUAGCUGGCUCCCGAAUCUUCAACUGAUGUUAGCAUGGACGUAAGUCAAUUUCGGAAAACACUCUAGUACCCUGUAACUGAUCAAAUAGGUCAUCAAUACGACGCAAUGGAUACUUGUUCUUCACUGUGACUUUGUUCAAAUGGCGGUAAUCAAUACACAUCCGCAUAAAACUAUCCUUUUUCUUCACAAAUAAUACAUAAGCACCCCAAGGUGACACACUGGGCCGAAUGAAGCCCUUAUCAAGCAACUCCUAUAAUUGCUCCUUAAACUCCUUCAACUUAGGAGGAGCCAUACGAUAUAGAGGAACAGAGAUGGGCUGAGUGCCCGACAACAAAUCAAUGCCAAAGUCAAUAUCUCUGUCGAGCGGCAUGCCCGAAAGAUCAGCUGGAAAUACAUCUGGAAAAUCCCUCACUAUUGCGACUGACUCAACUGUAGGGGGUAUCAAUACUAACAUCUCUCACAUAAGCUAGAUACGCGUCACACCCCUUCCCAACCAUUCGUUGAGCUUUAAGAAAUGAAAUAACUCUAUUGGGAGUAUACUCUAAGGUACCUCUCCACUCUAAUCGCAGUAAUCCUGGCAUAGCCAACGUCACGGUUUUGGCAUGACAAUCAAGAAUAGCAUAAUGGGGCGACAACCAGUCCGUGCCCAAAAUAACAUCAAAGUCUACCAUACUGAGCAAUAAUAAAUCGGCUCUGAUCUCAAAACCAUUAAGAGCAAUCAAACACGACCGAUACACACGGUCAACAACAAUGGAAUCACCCAUAGGUGUAGAUACAUAAACAGGAGAACUUAAAGAAUCACGAUAUAGGCCCAAAUACAGUGCAAAAUAAGAUGACACAUAGGAAUAAGUGGAGCCUGGAUCAAAUAAAACUGACGCAUCUAUAUGACAGACCGGAACAAUACCUAUAAUGACAGAGUCGGAAGCAACUGCCUUUGUACGAGUAAAAAGAGUAUAAUAUCUGGCAUGGCCUCUCCAUCUAGGAAAACCUCGACCUCCCCGACCUCCACCUCGAGCUGGCUGAGCAGGUGGGGCGGUAGUUGAUGUUGUAAUCAUAGCCUAAGGACCCGUUGGAGCACGCGGUGGCUGAGAAGUUUGUGGAGGUGCACCCCUCAUAAGUCUGGGGUAAUCCCUCACCAUAUGGUGAGUGUCGCCACACUCAAAAUAAGCUCUCGGAGCGCAUGGCAGUUGUGACUGGCUCGGGCCAGGUCUGCUGGACUAGCCGCUAAAAGCACCCUGUGCAUGAGGCACAAUUGAUACUGACGGUGCAUAAUAAGGUUCCUGGGGCCUAGAAGGGGCCGGAAUACUACUUGAGGUUGGAAGAGCUGAAUGAACGGGGUGACUCACAUAACCCCUACCAUGGCGAACUGCAGCUGGGGCACGAGUACCACUAUAAGUGCCAGACUCUCGAGACUUCUUGGCCUCCCUCUCCUCUCUCUCUCUCUCUCGAGCAAGCAUACCGUCCAAUCUCUUAGCAAUACUCACAACCUGCUGGUAAGAAAUAUCCAUCUCCAACUCUCGGGCCAUGCUAAGACUGAUACUGGGUGGAGUCCCUCGAUAAACGGACGAACCCUCUCUCGAACUGUAGCAACUAAGGCAGGUGCAUGUCGGGCCAAAUCGCUGAAACAAACUGCAUAUUCUGACACAGUCAUAGCGCCCUGGCGCAACUGCUCAAACUCCACGCGCCGUGUAUCCCUGAGACUUUAAGGAACAUACUCCCUCAAAAACAUGUCUAAGAACUGAGUCCAUGUAAGUGAAGCUGCCUCAGUCGGACUACCCAACUCAUAAGCACGCCACCACUAAUAGGCUGCUCCUCUAAGCUAGAAUGUAGUAACAAAAACCCCACUCGACUCCACUACACCCAUCGUACGAAGAAUAUGGUGACACUCCUCCAGGAAACCCUGGGCAUCCUCUGACGCCAAUCCACUGAAGGUAGCAGGGUGGUACUUCUUGUACCUCUCAAGUCUAAGUUGUUCCGCCUCAGAAACUGUUGCCCUAACCUCGGGCUGAGCUUGAGCUACCGGCUGCAUCGGUAUAAUCUCCGGAACCUGGUCGACCUGAACCCGUUGCUCUGGAGUACAGGCGAUGGGAGCAUGUGCUCCUCCCCCGACCUGAGAUGUGGUAGGAGCAAGUGGAAUCAAUCCAGCCUGAGCCAAGUUGCUGAACAUGCUCAGAAACUGGCUAAAGUCUCCUGGAGGGAUGGUGCAGCAACAGGUACCUCAUGUGCCUGCCCUCCAGAUGGAGACACUUGGGGCUCCUCUGUAGCAGCUCGUGUGGGUGCUCUGACUGCACCGCGUGGACGUCCUCGGCCUCUACCCCGGCCCCGACCUCUCGUGGCUCAAGUAGGGGAUGCGGGUUCCUGGUCAUCAACUCCGUCUAUACGUGUCCUCACCAUUUGUGAGAGAAUAGAAUACAAAAGUUUAGAAUUUCGAAGUCAACAAUUUCGCACGACAAGGAAUCAAAGAAGUGUAAUAAACCGGCUUGUGACUCACGACACAUACGAACCUAGAGCUUUGAUACCAACUUGUCAUGACCCAAACUCCCUCCGUAUAACGUCGUGACGGCACCUAGUUUCUACGACUAGGUAAGCCUAACAAAUUGUGAAAAAUAACAAAACGAAAGUAAAACUUGGAAACUAACAGCAGUGGAUAACUGAAUAACUAGUAAUAAUGCCGCUCGACGUGUACAAUAACCAAUACUCUAUAAUUACACAGUCUUCCCAAAACUCAAAACAUCGUAAGUCACAAGCUACAGAAGGAAACAAGUAUCUCUUUACACCAAACUCUAAUAAAAGAAGUACUGAAGGUAAAUGCCAUAGGAGAGAAUAAAGGGGGACUGCGAGGUCUGUGGACGCGACAGAUGUACCUUGAAGUAUCUGUAUAUUAGCAAGCACUCUUAGCUAAUAGCGGGGCUGAUAAGAAGUACCUGGAUCUGCACACAAAAAUAUAUGCAGAAGAGUAGCAUGAGUACACCACAACGGUACCCAGUAAGUGCCAAGCCUAACCUCGGUAGAGUAGUGACGAGAUCAGGUCUGGGCCCUACUGGAUAUAAAUAUAAGACAUAUGAUAUAAUAAAAAUGAAGUAAAACAGAGAAUUUAACAGAAAAAUUAAAAGGGAAAUAACAACACAUCAUAAUGUGAUAACAAUAGGGGCGCUCCCGAGAUACCGUCUCGUAGUCUCAAAAAUAAAUACUCAACAGGGGAUCUCCCGAAAUACCGUUUCGUAGUCCCAAAAGUAAAUAUGCGAGGAGAUCUCCCGAGGUAUUACCUCGUAAUCUCAAAAGUAAAUGUGCAGGGGGGAUCUCCCGAGGUACAGCCUCGUAUUCCCAAAAGUAAAUAUGCGAGGAGAUCUCCUGAGGUACCGCCUCGUAGUCUAAAAAGUAAAUGUGUAGGGGGAUCUCUCGAGGUAUCGCCUCGUAGUCCCAAAAAUAAAUAUGUAGGGAGAACUCCCGAGGUACCGCCUCGUAGUCUCAAAAGUAAAUAUGCAGGGAGAACUCCCGAGGAAACUGCCUCGUAGUCUCAAAAGUAAAUACAUAGCUCAAACCGAUAAAUACAACAGUUAACAACAAGAUUUCUACAGUUAAUACUGAUAAAGAACAAGAAAAAGAAGGAAAUCAACUAGGCAUGUUUCACGGAGUUCAAAUAAGCAGUUAAAUCACGUAGACAUGCGAUAUUAGACUAAACAGGAUAACUACACAUAUUGGAAUAGCUCAAUUAAGAAUGAAAACAGACUAAUACUCAUUUAAACGGUAUAACUCAAAUUAAAGAAAAAAUAGGUUGCUAGUUAGUAAAAUUAUCGGGUUUUACAACAAAUAGCCCGUGUACGCACUCCUCACCUCACGUACACGGUGCUCACAUAUCAUAACAGUACCAAAUCCUAAGGAUAUUUCCCUCCCACAAGGUUAGGCAAGCCACUUACCUCGAACAAAGCUCAAUCAAUCGGUAACAAUGCCUUUACCACGAUUAUCCGACUCAGAAUGGCCCAAAUCUAGCCAAAAUCAAUUACAUACCAUAAAUACAACUAUAAGAAACUAAUCCAAUUAAUGAAAUCAAAGCUAAAGCAAGAAAUUAAAAAAUCGCCCCAAAAAGCCUCCCCGGGCCCACGUCUCGGAAUCGGUUAAAAGUCACAAAAUAUGAACACCCAUUCACUCACGAGUUCAUUCGUACGAAAAUUAUCCAAAUCCAACAUCAAAAUCUCAAUCAAAACUCAAAAAUUUAGUUAAAGAACUUCUCCCAUUUUUCCAAAAUUUCACAACCAAAUUCCGAGCUCUCAAAGACCCAAAAUAAAAAUGAGAUCAAACCCUCGAAAUUGACCUUUUCUGCCAAGAGAUUCCGCAUUUGCGGACUACCAGCCGCACAUGUGACGCCGCACCUGUGGAAUUUCCAUCUCAAGUGUGGAGAUGGCUUAAGGUACAAAUAUCCGCUUCUGCACACAUGGGUGCGGGCCCGCUUCUGCGGAUGACCUUCUGCAUCUGCGACUCUGCCCAGGUCGCUCUAUUCACUCCUGCGGUCAAUCCUCCGCAUCUACGGAUACGCAGAUGCGGCUCCCAUUUCGCACUUGCGCUCACAGACCAAGCUUGAUCAAACCGCACAUGUGCUCCUCCUCCCGCACGUGUGAUCCCGCACCUGCGGUUUCCCCUCCAUAUGUGCGAAAAUCUUCAAUAACUAGCCUAAGUCCAAAUUCAAUCUGUUAAGCAUCUGAAACACACCAGAGGCCCUCGGGACCUCAACCAAACAUAUCAAUCAGUCUUAAAACACCAUACGAACUUAGUCGAGCCCUCAAAUCAAAUCAAACAACGCUAAAAUCAAGAAUCACCCUCCAAUUCAAACCUAAUGAACUUUAAAACUUCAAACUUCUACAACCAAUGUCGAAACCUAUCAAACCACGUCUGAUUGAUCUCAAAUUUUGCACACAAGUCAUAAUUGACAUUUCGGACCUACUCCAACUUCCAGAAUCGGAAUCCUACCAUGAUAUCGAAAAGUCAACUACCGGUCAAACUUCCCAAAAAUUCAACUUUUGCCAUUUCAAGCCUAAUUCUGUUACAGAUCUCCAAUUCACAUUCCGGACAUGCUCCUAAGUCCAAAAUUUCCUAACAGAGCUAACGGAACCGACAAAACUUCAUUCUGGAGUCGCCUUCACACAGUUCCGACUACGGUCACAAUCCUAGAACUUAAGCUUCCGUUUUAGGGACUAAGUUUCCCAAAUCACUCUGAAACCACAACAAAACCUCCCGGCAAGUCACAUAAGCAGAAAAAAGAUACAGGGAAAGUAGUAAAUAGGGGAUUGGGGCUAAUACACUCAAAAUGACAGAUCGGGUCGUUACAUCCUCAAUCGGAGUAUACAUAAUAGACCUUACCAGAUAGGUCGUCAUAGUUCAAUCAGGGAAAGCUCACAGAUAUGUUGGCUUCUUGCCAAUUAUUACGCACGAUUUCACAAGAGUAUUUUAUAGAAAUGCCGAGGCGUAUGGCCCGCUCCCAUGAGAGUGUGGCACAUAAAUUCUGUCGUCACGUACGGCCCGGUCCCAUUAGUGUGUGGUACAUAAAUCCUGCCGAGGCAUACGACCCGAUUCAUCAUAGUGUGCGCACUACCGAGGGUCGAACCACACGAACCAUAGAUGUAUCGUUCCUGCCAAGGCGAACAGCCCGAUCCCAUUAGAAUAAGAAGGUUUGACGGGUAUUUGACCCACUCACGAAUAAUCGUGUGAGUUAUAGAUCUUUAAGGGAGCAUUUCGAUGAGAACGCAUAACGCGAGAGAUUUUAGUAAGAAGAGUACAGUUUAAAUCUACGGCUUAUCCUGAAGCCCAUCAAAUCUCUACAAUAGCCAUUCUACCACUCUACGUAAGUCUAGUCUCAAGUCGUAAUGUAAAAUAAAGAAAUUUAAUAGGCAAGAGACAACUCAAAUAGUACAGUUAUAGCAUGGCGUAAAUCUAAGUUUACCCGAACAUAACAUGAAUCUAGCUACGUGCGGACUCUCGUCACCUCGUGCGUACGUAGCCCGCGCUACAAGUAGCACAUAACAAACACAUCAUCUAGGGGUAGUUUCCCCCUCACAGAGUUAGACAGGAGACUUACCUCACUCCGAAGUUCCACAACCGGCUCCAAAGCCUCUCUAACACCUCAAACCGAUGCCCGUCGAUCCAAAACUAUUCAAAUAAAUGUACAAACCAAUCAAAACAUACUCCAAUACCCAUAAUUGGUCAAUUUAUAUUCAUUUCCAACACCACUCGAAAAGUCUAUAAAAUCAAACCUCGGGUCCACGUGCUCGGAUUCCGAAAAUUCUUGAAGAUAAACCUUACCCAUAACACCACAAACUCAAAUAUAUAAUUUAUUCUUAAUUCCAUGUCCAAUUUCGUGGUCAAAAUCCAAAAAAAUGUCAAUUUUAGUUUUUUUACCAAAAUUCCACAAUUGCUACUAAUUUCCAUGCCCUAAUCCACAAAACAAAACCAUGUAUUUAACUUGUAAUAGGUGGGAAUCACUUACCUUAUGUUGCUUGAUGAAAAUCUUCCCUUGAAGCUCUCCAAAAUCGCCCCAACCAAGUGAGAAAAUGAGGGAAAUAAGCAAAACCCCGAUUUUAAAUCAAUCUGCCCAGCCGACUUUUCGCACAUACGGAAAAUCCAUCGCAGGUGCGUUUCCCUCCAAGCCAGGCAAAAUCCUCUUCUGCGGACCAUUUUAUGUUUCUGCACGACCGCAUGUGCAGAUACCCCUAUGAUUCUGCGACCCAGCUGCCCCUCUUAUUUUUCACUUCUGUGGAGUUCCCUUCGCAUCUGCGGGCUCGCAAAUGCGUGAAUACACUCGCAUCUGCAGCCACCCAACUUAGUCCAAAGGUCACUUAUGCGGCCACAGUGCCACUUCUGCGGCUCUGCACUUGCACCCAAAACCUCGCAGGUGCGGUUACACCAGAUAUGCUUCCACCGGCCUUUUCAUAGGGCCAAAUCAAGUCCGAUUGACCUCAAAUUUUGCACACAAGUCAUAAUUGACAUUACGGACCUACUCCCACUCCCGGAAUCGGAAUCUGACCCUGAUAUCAAAAAGUCCACUCCCGGUCAAACUUCCCAAAAAUCAUCAAAUUUUCCAACUUUCGCCAAUUUGACGUCGAAAUAACCUACGGACCUCAAAAGCAACAUCCAGACAUACUACUAAGAUCAAAAUCAUCAUACGAACUUGUUGGAACCUUAAAAUCCCGAUUCCGAGGUCGUUUACUCAAAAAGUCAAACCUUAGUGAAUUUUCCCAACUUAAAGCUUCCAAAAUUAGAAUUUUUUUUCCAUAUCAAUCCUGAACUUACCGAAAUUAAAUUCCGACCACACGCACAAGUCAUAAUACCUGAAGUGAAGCUACUCAAGGCCUCAAACCGCUGAACAACGUGCUAGAGCUCAAAAUGACCGGUCGGGUCGUUACAUUCUCUCCCACUUAAACAUCUGUUUGUCCUCGAACGUGCUAAGGACUACUCUAGAGUUGUCCAAAAUCACUGUGCAACACCUUGUGCACCUACCCGUACCACCACAACCUAGUUGGUCACAUUAGCUCGAGCCGGACUGAAGGUCCUCCCUUUUAUUUAGUCAAUAAGCCCGAGAACCAAAUUCCAACCUUCGAAUUUCUCUACAAUACCUGAUUCCACACACCAUACCAAAACACUAUCGUACACCUUUUAUUGAAUUCAUACUAUGCCCCACAUAAUUCGCAUGCUCAUAAUAACAUACUCUAAUAAUAGCUGAAAUUUCACAAAUCUAAUGCCCGCAAUACAUCUCAUGACGUAUAUGACUCUUGUUCCAACUCUCGCAAUACUGCCAUGACGAAAGAGGUGUAGAAACUCAUAACCACCUACCGAAUCAAUAAUUCAUGGAGUCUCUCCUCCUGACAAGAACCAUUACCUCGUUCUGAACUGAAUAACGAUAUUUUCCCUUUAAUGUACCUUGUAUAAACCUGAUUGCACAAAUUUCAGGUCCAAUAAUCUCGUCUCACCCAGUACAAGCUGCUCAGGAAAUAAGCCACCCCAAACACCGACUCAGAUCUCCAUAUGGCGCCAUUAAUGCGCUAACAAGCUACAAAUUCGAAUGUGACACAUAAGGAAAAAUGAAAUCUGGAAAAAGAGCUACCUGGCCCGCACAACGAAUAAAACAGCCAAAGAGAUGCUAUGAACCUUUCUUCGAGGAUGAGAAACAAAAUACGCAGGAGUAGAUAUAGGGAACCAUACUCAAUAUAACACUGUUGCGGCGUGCAACCCGAUCCAAACAUGAUACUGUUGCGGCGUGCAACCCGAUCUAAAUAACGUACCCAUGGCGGUGUACCACCCGAUCCACUCACAACAAUAAAUAAGGACAUACUCCUCAAGCCAUAAUGCUUCUACCUAUAGAAUACCAAAUAUCGGUCACAAGCAUGCCAAGUGCAAAAAAACAACUUUGGGGAGACGAAUGAUGCAAUAUGUCACAAAACCCAAGCACGACUAAGGUACGACAAAUGACCUGCAUCUCUAGAGCCAUCCUGCUCAUAUGACACCAGAAUCUACACGGGACCCCAACACACAUGCGAAUAAUCAAGCUGUGUCAAUCCGGCACAACCCCCACAGCUCACAACCAAAGGAAUAUAGUGCCUUCCAGGUAUCAACCCUCACAUUAACGAUAGUACCAAAAAUCUCCGUACUUGGUCUUAAUCUUCAACAAUCAAGUGACUAACAUGCCACACUUCUACAAAUUUCCCUAUGGGGUUCGCUCCCACGACCUUCCACUCAGGUAUCAAAGUCUUCACAUCCACACCACCAACCGUACAAAUUCUGUGAAGCAGAUCAUGAAUCCGCAAAUCAAUACACAAUGCUCCUUCCACAAAACACCAUCCUUAGGCGAUACUAGGAUAAUGUCAGCUUAUUCUGAACAUCUAAUUCUCCCCAGCUCCCGCAUGUGUGGAUACCCCUCCGCUUCUACGACCCAACUGCUUCUCUCAUUUUUCGCUUUUCUGGAGUUCCCUUCGUAUAUGCGGGCUCGCAGAUGCGGAAAUACACUCAUAUCUGCGGCCACCCAACUUAGUCCAAAGGUUGCUUCUGCGGCCACAGUGCCGCUUCUGCGGCUCCGUACAUGCGGCAAAACCUCACAGGUGCGGUUACACCAAAUAUGCUGCCACUAGCCUUUUCAUAAGGCCAAAUUCAAUCCGUUAACUAUCUGAAAUCAACCUGAGCCCCCUAAGACAUCGACCAAAUAUACCAACCAGUCCUAAAACACAAUACAAAUUUAGUCGAGCCUUCAAAUCAUAUCAAACAAUGCUAAAACCACGAAUCACACCCUAAUUCAAGCUUAAUGAACUUUAGAACUUCAAACUUCUACCUUCGAUGCCGAAACUUAUCAAAUCAAGUCCUAUUGACCUCAAAUUUUGCACACAAGUCAUAAUUGACAUUACAGACCUACUCCCACUUAUAAAAUCGAAAUACGACCCCGAUAUCAAAAAGUUCACUCCCGGUCAAACUUCCCAAAAAUCAUCCAAUUUUUCAACUUUCACCAAUUUGACGCCGAAAUAACUUACAGACCUCCAAAUCAAUAUCCGAAUACGCUACUAAGACCAAAAUAAUCAUACGAACCUGUUGGAAUCUUCAAAUCCCGAUUACGGGGUUGUUUACUCAAAAAGUCAAACCUUAGUCAAUUUUCCCAACUUAAAGCUUCCGAAAUUAGAAUUUUCUUUCCAUAUCAAUACCGAAACUUCCCGAAAUUAAAUUCCGACCAUACACACAAGUCAUAAUACCUGAAGUGAAGCUACUCAAGGCCUCAAACUACUGAACGACGCAGUAGAGCUCAAAACGACCGGUCGACUCAUUACAAUUGGAGUGGCUUCGACCUAUUUGCUUAUUUAUUUGUUUGAAAUUUGGUGAACUUAUCAAAUUUUCAGCAAUCAUUUUUAAAGGAAUAUACUCGUAGAUUCAUGCGUUAAGGCCAAAUCAAGCCUACACUUUAAUUAAGGGACUUUUUCGUAUAUAUACAAGAUUUUAAACUUAUUUACCCAGUUUUGUCUAAGUUUUCAUAUUUAUAGGAAAUAACAAAAGUUUUUUACAAAAUAUAUACAAAUCCGAUCAAAAUCUACAAUUUAUCUACAACAUAAGUACACAUGUUUUCUACAGAAUUCGGUCAAAAACUAUAAUUUAUAUACAAUUUAUAUACAACUUAUAUAUAAUAAUGUAAGUUAUAGAUAUUUUGUGUACCGUUUCUUCAUUCCACAUAAAAAUAUAUACAAUUUGUUCAUGUCUUCUUUUUCGAGUUUCAAUAUGAAAUUUCAACGAAAAUCACUUCGAAUCUUCACCAAAUUGUCUCAAAUUUGAGAUAUAAACUCCAAUAGAUAUUCUCAAUCAUUUGCAACAACACCCAAUCCAAAUAAAAAAUAAUUUCAUAAAAUUUCAUUUUUGAAUUCAAAGUUUUGGAUGUCAAUGGAGUUUUUAAUGGAUUAACAUAGUUUUCAAUUCAAUCUACUCGCUUCUAAUUAAUACUAUGUUGUUUAUUGAUUCCAAAAAGCUAAAAGAAUGAUAACUAAAAUGAUUCUCUUUAUUAGAGCUAAUUAUUUUUCUUAUUUACUUCCUCGUUUUCAUAGGAUCUGAAGCAAGAACUUUGCUAGGUACUAAUUUUCUUUUUUUUUUACUUAGCAUUAGUAUCAUUUNNNNNNNNNNNNNNNNNNNNNNNNNAGAGAGAGAGAGCAAAGAGGGAAUUCCCUAUUCAAUUCCUAAUAUAAUGGGAUAUUCGUUAGUACUAAUUUUUUUAUAAUUGGUAAAUUGUAUAUCAACUUGUAAUUAAGUUAAAACCUAAACAAUGAGGGUAAAUAAGUUUCUAAUAUAGUACAUAUAGGUAAAAAUCCUUUAAUUAAAUAUUCAGCCCACUACUAUUCAUAUAGGUUUGGUAAUUUGUAUGUUUCAUUUGGAGAAUUUAAAUUUGAAUAUUGAAUAAGUUGUAUAUAUUUUGAGAUAAAUUAAGCUGAAGCUUGAUGUGACCAAAAUGACCUCUCUUGUGGAGAUUUAUUUAUUGUAAAACAUAAAAGGUUGUGCGUGUGUAACCUAUGUGAAUAUUGAUCGGCCCAAAAGAAGUCAAUGUUUAACAGAAUUACACGUGCAUCUUGUGGUAAUAAUUGCGUGAUUAUUAUUUGGUUUUACGUGGGAAUAAUAAAUUGGCCCAAAGGAAGAUUUAUUAUUUGACAUGUUCUUUAUUAUCAGCCUUUGAUCACUACACCAACACACCACUUACAAGUUAAUAUUUUGUCCAAAGAUGAAAUAUUAAUGGAGUGCGUGGUACCUUGAGAUAAGGUUUACCUUUAUUCAAAUUUAUUUUUAUUUUAGUUUGAAGUAUAUGUGAGCUUAUUUUUUAUUUAUUGCUCUCCGAGUCAAAUGAAAUAUCACGACCCAAAACCUAACUCGUCGUGAUGGCGCCUAUCGGUGGUACUAGGCAAGUCGACCUUCCCAAAAAUACUUCCAAACUAAAUAUAAAAGUAAAGUAAAGCAAAGCUUUCCAUAUCAGGAAUUUUUCAUAAAAUCAAAGUUGAACUCAAUAUAGAAUCAAAAUGCGGAAACCAACCCCAAACAUCGGGGUGUCACUAGUCAUGAGCGUCUAAGUAUUUUAAAACUAUUACAGUUAAUGUCUAAUUAUCAGUACAAAACAAAAAGAAAUAUGGAAGGAGUAACAAGGUCCUGCGAACGCUGGCAGCUACCUUGCAGUCUCUGAAACUCCAACAUGCCUGGACUCAACAAUCUCUAUGCUCAGACACACCUGGAUCUGCACAUGUAGUGCAGGGUAUAGUAUGAGUACAACCAACUCAGCAAGUAACAGAAAUAAAUAAGAAAUUGAGAAGUAGUGACGAGCUAUACAAUACAGUUCAUUUUAAAAAAUUUCACUAAAGAGUGACCAUGCUUUCAAAUCCUGUGGUAUAAGUCAAAUCAGUUCGCGCUCAUGUAAAAUAGAUAUGAAUCUUACAGAAUUUUCACUACAACAACAGAUAACAACUAGGUGCAACAAUAAAUAAAAGCAAGUAUAGCCUCUCAAGGCAGCAGUCACUCAACCCAUCUCAACAGCUCACACUCUUGGCUCUCAUCCCUCAAUACACACUCUCAAUAGGUACCUGUGCUCACUGGGAGUGUUCAGACUCAUAAGGGGCUCCUACAACCCAAGCGCUAUAAUCCGCACGGACAACUCACGUGUUGCACGGAUAACUCACGUGAUGCACGGAUAACUCACGUACUGCACGGAUAACUCACGUACUAUAAUAUCAUAUCUGGAUCCGCACGGACAACUCACGUGCUGCACGGACAACUCACAUGCCAUAGUAUAAAUAUAAGGAUCCGCACGGACAAUUCAUGUGCCAUAGAACAAUACCUCACAACCAAGCCCUCGGCCUUACUCAGACAUGAACCUCUUUAGUCUCAUAGCUCUCAAUAAAGAAAGGAAAAACAGCCCAAAUCAAAGUGUUAUAUAUAUCAUCAGGGAAAAUAUCAGAGACUAAGGUAAACAUGUACAAGAAACACUAUGACGGAAUAUAACUACCAGGAGCAGGAAUAUAGCCUAAGCAUGAUUUCUACCAUAAAAGGCUGUCAAGUUCUAGUAGACAAGAAUGCAUAUGAAUACAAAUAAAAGCUAUUAGACUUCACAGUCUCACGGGACGGACCAAGUCUCGAUCCAUCACGGCGUACAUCCACACGCCCGUCACCUAGCAUGGGUGCCACCUCCAAACAAUCACAUUAUACCAACUCCGGGUUUCAUACCCUCAAAAUAAGAUUUAAAGUUGUUACUUACCUAAAUAGUGUAGAACUCCUACUCCGAAAUGCCCUUUCCUCUCGAACCGGCCUCCAAAUGACCUGAAUCUAGCCACAAGCAAUAAAAUACGAUCAAUAUGAGCUAAAGAAUGAAUCCCACAAGGAAAAUACCAAAUUAUGGGCCAAAUCCCGAAAUUCACUCAAACCUGGCCCCCUGGUCCACGUCUCGAAAUCCGACAAAAGUCACAAAACCUGAAAGCCCAUUCACUCACGAGUCUACCCAUACUAAAUUCAUCAAAAUCCGACCCCAUUUGGUCCCUUAAAUCCCCAAAUUACUCUCUCCAAAAUCCCAAGCCCUAACCCCUUAUUUCACUCCAAAUAUCCUACUAAUUAGGUGAGAAAUUAACGGGAAAACACCGUAGCUAAUGAUAAUAAAUCUCAAGCAACUUACCUUAGUGAAUACCCUUGAAUCCCAUUCAAAAAUCACUCCAAAAACUCCAAAACCCGACUUAAAAAUGGUAGAAAUGAACCAAAAUUCGUGAAGUGUUCAAUUUAUAGUUUAUGCCAAGGUCUUUCACACCUGCGGCUAAAUAUGUGCACCUGCGGUGCCGCAUCUACGCAAGAACCUCCGCACCUGCGAAAAAUUAAUAAAAACCCCCAACCUCGCACUUGCGCUCCAUAUCCGUAUUUGCGACCACGCAGGUGCAGAAAAAACCUCGCACAAGCGGCCACUGCCUGACCUCCUCACUUCCGCUUCUGCGGGCACCUGUCCGCAUCUGCGGACUCGCAGAUGCAACCUCCCCUACGUACCUGCAGACCCAUCCUACCUCAACAUUGUCCGCACCUGCGAACUCUCACGCGCACCUGCGACCUCGCACCUGCGGCUCCCCCUCCGCAGGUGCGGAAACACCAGUAGCAGCAACUUCAGUUGCAUUUUCCUACUUCAAAUAACCCGUUAACCACCUGGACUAACCCCGAGCCCUUCAGGACCUCGACCAAACAUACCAACAAGUCAUAUAUCAACAUACAAACUUAGUCGAACCUUCAAAACACUCAAAACAAUAUCAAAAUACCAAAUUACCCUCGGAUUCAAGCCUAAGAACUUCUAAACUUUCAAAUUCGACAACCGAUGCCGAAACCAACCAAACUACGUCCGAAUGACGUCAAAUUGUACACACUCAUCACAAAUGACACCAUGAACCUACUUUAAUUUUCGGAAAUCCAUUUCGACCCCGAUAUCAAAUUUUUCGCUUCCGACUGAAAUCGCCAAAUUUCCAACUUUUGCCAAUUCAAUCCUAAUUCCACUACGGACCUCCAAAUCACAUUCCGGAUGCACUCCUAAGUCCAAAAUCACCUCACAAAGCUAAUGAAACCAUCAAAAUUAAAUUCCGAUAUUGUUUACACAUAAGUCAACAUCCGGUUGACUUUUCUAACUUAAGCUUUUAAAUAAGAGAUUAAGUGUCGCAAUCCACUCCGAAACCACUCCGGAACCAACUAACCCGGUAUAUCAUGACAUAAAUGAAAAGCACAAAAGAAGUAGAAAUAGGGAAAAUGGGACUAUAACUCACAAAACGACCGGUCGGGUCAUUACAUACUCCCCCUCUUAAAUAACCGUUCGUCCUCGAACGAAUCUAGAAACAUACCUGGAGUCUCGAAUAGGCGUGGAUAUCUGUUCCGCAUCUCCCGCUCGGUCUCCCAGGUGUAGGGCUGCUUAUCGGGCGGAUUGGGCGGUUAUAUACUCUUAACGGUUUGGCUUAUCGGUUAUCGGCUUUUAAAUGUAUUAAUCCGCUAGCCACCUGAUAAGAUAUCAGGCGGAUUGGUAUCGGUUUAGCUCUUAUCGGGCGGUUAUCGGGCAGUUUAUCGGAUUGUUUGUUGACCGCUAUGACUCAAAAUAAAAUUCCUAAGAAGAGAGCUAAAUAGAAGAAAUAGAGAGAUGUGUAUUCCAACGUAUUUCCCAGUAGAAUCAUCUCUGGGGAUGAGCCUAUUAACAACUUAUAACUAUCAUAAGAAAUAGAAGAGAACACUGGGUAUAAUACAUGAUAAUCAAAAUUAUCUAAUAGUAACUAAAUGGAAUAGUAAAUUAUAACUAAAUGUCUAAUAGUAAAUUAGUAAUAGAGANNNNNNCAAUGAAGCUAUAUCUAUUUAUCUCAACUUCUGAACCUGCCGAUCCAAAAUGGCCACCAGCUCCACAUCAUAAGUCAUAUCACUCUCUAACCGUACCGUGCUGAAAUACAAAACAUGGGACGGAUCUCCAAUAUACUUCCGGAGCAUGGAAACAUGAAACACUGGAUGCACACUUGACAAGCUGGGUGGCAAGGAAAACUUAUAAGCCACCUCCCCUAUCCUCUGAAGCACCUCAAACGGCCUAAUGAACUGGGAGCUAAACUUGCCCCUGUUCCCAAACCUCAUAACACCCUUCAUGGGUGAUACAUUCAGCAAAACCUUCUCCCCAACCAUAAACGACACAUCACAGACCUUCAUGUCCUCAUAGCUCUUCUGCCUAGACUGUGUCGUGCGAAGCCUCUCCUGAAUCAAUUUCGCCUUAUCUAAUGUAUCCUGGACCAAGUAUGUACCCAAGAGCCUACCCUCACCCGGCUCAAACCAUCCUACCAGAGAUCUACACCUCCUCUCAUAUAAAGCCUCGUACUGAGCCAUCUGAAUACUCGAUCGGUAACUGUUAUUAUAUGCAAACUCCGCGAGCGGCAAAAACUGAUCCCAUGAACCCCCAAAGUCAAUGACACAAGCGCACAACAUGUCCUCCAAUAUCUUAAUAGUGCGCUCAGACUGCCCGUCUGUCUGAGGUUGAAAAGUUAUGCUCAACUUAACCCGAGUACCCAACUCUCGCUGCACGGCCCUCCAAAACUGCGAUGUAAACGGAGUACCUCUAUCUGAAAUGAUGGAAACUGGAACACCAUGCAGGCGAACAACCUCUCGGAUAUAAAUCUCAGCCAACCGCUCUGAAAUGUAAGUAGUUCUAACUGGAAUGAAGUGCGCGGACUUGGUCAGCCGAUCCACAAUAACCCAAAUAGCAUUGAACAUCCUCGAAGCCGUGGGAGCCCAACUACGAAGUCCAUGGUGAUUUACUCCCACUUCCACUCUGGGAUCUCUAACCUCUGAAGUAAGCCACCCGAUCACUAAUGUUCAUACGUAACCUGCUGACAGUUGAGACACCAAGCCACAAACCCAACUAUAUCCUUCUUCAUCUGCCUCCACCAAUAGUGUUGCCUCAUAUCCUGGUACAUCUUCACGGCACCCGAAUGGAUGGUAUACCGCGAGUUGUGGGCCUCCUCAAGAAUCAACUCCCUGAGCCCAUCUACAUUAGGAACACAUAUCUGGCCAUGCAUCCUCAACAAGCCAUCAUCACCAAUGGUCACAUCCGUAGCAUCACCUCGCUGAACCCUGUCCUGAAGAACGAGCAGAUGGGGGUCAUCAUACUGACACUCCCUGAUACAGUCAUAAAGAGAAGACAUGGAUACCGCACAAGCCAAAACCCGACUCGGCUCCGAAAUAUCCUAUCUGACAAGCUGGACCGCUAAGGCCUAAACAUCCAAUGCCAAGGGUCUCUCUGCUGCGGGGAGAUAUGCUAAACUCCCCAAACUCUGCCCGAUGACUCAAAGCAUCGGCUACCACAUUGGCCUUCUCCGGAUGGUACAAAAUAGUAAUAUUGUAGUCCUUAAGAAGCUCCAACCAUCUCCGUUGACACAAGUUAAGGUCCUUCUGCUUCAACAGAUACUACAAACUUGUGAUCAGUAUAAAUCUCACAAUGAACCCCAUACAAAUAAUGACGCCAAAUAUUCAAGACGUAAAUAAUGGUUGCUAACUCAAGAUCAUGGAUAAGAUAGUUCUUCUUAUGGGUCUUCAACUGGCACGAGGCAUAGGCAAUCACCCUACCCUCCUACAUUAGAACGCAUCCAAUACCUACCCCCGAGGCAUCACAUUACACGGUGUAUGAACCUGAAGCUGAUGGCAGAACUAACACUGAAACUGUGGUCAAGGCAGUCUUGAGCUUCUGGAAGCUCUCCUCACACUCAUCCCACCAUCUGAAUGGAGCACCCUUUUGGGUCAAUUUGGUCAAGGGCGAUGCAAUAUAUGAAAAUCCCUCCACAAAGCGACGGUAAUAACCUGCCAAACCAAUAAAGCUCCUAAUCUUUGUGGCUGAGGACGGUCUAGGCCAACUCUACACCGCUUCUAUCUUCUUCGGAUCUACCUGAAUACCCUCACUGGACACCACGUGCCCCAAGAAUGCUACUGAACCGAGCCAAAACUCAUACUUGGAGAACUUUGCAUAAAGCUCCUCCUUCCUCAAUCUCUGCAAUAUAACCCUCAAAUGUUGAGCAUGCUCCUCCUGGCUACGAGAGUAUACCAGGAUGUCAUCAAUGAAUACAAUAACGAAUGAGUCCAAAUAGGGCUGGAAUACACUACUCAUCAAAUGCAUGAACGAUGUUGGGGCAUUUGUCAGCCCAAAAGACAUCACCAAGAACUCGUAAUGGCCAUAACGGGUUAAGAAUAUACGAAUCCCGAAUCUUCAGCUGGUGAUAACCGGACCUCAAAUGAAUCUUGGAGAACACCCUCGCUCCCUGAAGCUGGUCAAAUAAAUCAUCAAUACGAGGAAAAGGAUACUUGCUCUAGACAGUGACCUUGUUCAACUGUCUGUAAUCAAUACACAUCCUCAUGGAACCAUCCUUCUUCUUUACAUAUAGAACUGGUGCACCCCAAGGUGACAUACUAGGCCGAAUAAACCCCUUAUCAAGGAGUUCAUGAAGUUGUUCCUUCAACUCCUUCAACUUCGCCAGUUCCAUACGAUACGGUGGAAUAGAAAUAGGCUGAGUGCCCGGCACCAAAUCAAUAUCGAAGUCAAUAUCCCUGUCAGGCGGCAUGCCCGACAGGUCUGUAGGAAACACAUCCGGAAAUUUACGUACCACCGAAACAGAAUCAAUGGUAGGAGUCUUUGCACUAACAUCCCUCUCAAACGCCAAACAAGAUAGGCGACCCUUUUCAACCAUACACUGAGCCUUCAAAUAUGAAGUCACCCUACUAAGUACAUAAUCCAUAGAACCGCUCUACUCAACCCUCAGAAUUCCCAGCAUUGUCAGCGUCACGGUCUUUGUGUGACAAUCUAGAACAACAUGACAUGGAAAAAACCAAUCCAUACCCAAUAUCACAUCAAAGACAACCAUACUGAGUAGUAAAAGGCCCACUUGGGUCUCUAGACCCCCAAUGGUCACCACACAUGACCGAUAUGCGUGGUCCACAACAAUAGUAUCGCCCACAGGAGUAGAUACAUGAACAUAUAAAACUAAAGACUCAUGGGGCAUAUCUAGAAAAUGGGCAAAAUACGAGGAAACAUAUGAAUACGUGGAACCAGGGUCAAAUAAUACAGAGGAAUCUCUGUGAAAAAUUGAUACAAUACCUGUAAUCACAGCAUCUAAAGCAAUAGCAUCUAGUCUGUCAGGGAGGGAAUAAAAACGGGCCAGACCACCCCCUAAUCUUCCUCCCCCUCUCUGGCGACCUCUAGCUGACAGGGCUCUGCCCCUAGCUGGCUGAGCGAGUGGUGGAGGAACUGGUGCCGGUGCCAUCAGCCGAGUACUCCGUUGUGGAGUCCUACCCAAUAGCCUUGGGCAAUCUCUCAUAAUGUGACCAAAAUCUACGCACUCGAAACAACCCCUCCUCUGAUGAAACUGCUGCUCCUGAUGCCCAAAAGAACUACCUGAGGAUACCUGAGCGGGCGGGGCAUGAUGAGAACUCUGCAUUGGUAGUGUACUGAAUGAUGACUGGCCCUGCUGAUGAUUGUGAGAACCAUGGCCAGAUGAUACACUACGGUGAAAUGGUCGAGCUGUCUGAGCAUGUCUGAAAUGACGACCUCUAACGUGCUGGAACUGAUCCCCAAAAGGAGCAUUACUGAAUCCACCCUGACCACGAGGCCUCUUGGCCUCCCUCUCAACCCUCUCCUGACCGCGAACCAUCUCAAUUUGCUGAGCAAUGUCGACAACCUCAUCAAAGGUAGCACCAGACACCCUCUCUCUAGUCAUAAGCAACCGUAGCUGAAAAGUGAGACCAUCUAUAAACCUUAUGAUCCUCUCCCUAUCUGUGGGAACCAAUCAGAUAGCAUGACUGGCCAACUCCGAAAAUUAUAUCUCAUACUGCGUCACUUACAUAUCACCCUAGCGAAGCAGCUCAAACUGUCUGCGCAGCUCCUCUCUGCAGGACUGAGGCACGAACUUCUCCAAAAAAACCACGGAGAACAGCUGCCAAGUAAGGGGUGUUAUGCCAACAGGCUACGCCUCUUGUAAGUCUCUUACCAUCUAAGUGCCGCCCCACAAAAUUGAAAAGUAGUGAAUGAGACCCCACAAGUCUCCAGAAUACCAGCUGUACGGAGUAUCCUCUAAAACUUGUCCAAGAAGUCCUGGGGAUCCUCUCUCUUUGUGCCACUGAAAGGUGGAGGCUGAAGUCUCCCUAACCUCUCCAACCUAUGUUGAUCAUCCUCAGGCAUAGCAGAAACCACAUAAUCCUGAGCAGUUAUAACCGGCUGGGCUGGUGGUACCUUCGGUGUCUGGAGUCCCUGAACAACCUACUCGGGUAUGCGAGCGGUGGGAGUCUGAGUGCUUCCCCCAGCCUGAGAAGUGGUUGCGGCCGUCGAGAUAGAGACCGCCUGAGCAAGGCCAGUACACGCUCUCAGAAUCUGAGUUAAGGCCUCCUGGAAGCCUGGAAUCACAAUAGGCACAAGUGGUGCAUGAGCUAGUGCAUCAACAACUGGAACCUGGUCCUGAUCUGGGACAACUGGUGGAUCUGCAGGUACUGCCCCAGUUGUUGUACGGGCUGCACCUCUGCCCCUACCAUGGCCUCUACCACGGCCCUGGCUGGUGGUACUGGUGGUUGGCCCUCCUGACCGGUAGCACGAGUCCUCACCAUCUGUGAGGGAAUAAAACAACAUGUGUUUAAUUACCAGAAUAAACAGAUUCACACGACAAGAAUCCAAGAAUGUGAAAUUUUCCUAAGGGUUCUGCAGCCUCUCGAAGAUAAGUACAGAUGUCUCUGUACCGAUCCGCAAGACUCUACUAACCCUCUCAUGACUCAUGAGACCUAUGUAACCUAGAGCUCUGAUACCAAUUUGUCACGACCCAAAACCUAACCCGUCGUGAUGGCACCUAUCGGUGGUACUAGUCAAGCCAACCUUCCCAAAAAUACUUCUAAACUAAAUAUAAAAGUAAAGUAAAGCUUUCCAUAUCGGGAAUUUUUCAUAAAAUAAAAGUUGAACUCAAUAUAGAAUCAAAAUGCGGAAACGAACCCCAAACAUCGGGGUGUCACUAGUCAUGAGUGUCUAAGUAUUUAAAACUAUUACAGUCAAUGUCUAAUUAUCAGUACAAAACGAAAAAAAAUAUGGAAGGAGUAACAAGGUCCUGCGGACGCUGGCAGUUACCUUGCAGUCUCCGAAACUCAAACAAGCCUGGACUCAACAAUCUCCAUGAUCAGACACACCUGGAUCUGCACAUGUAGUGCAGAGUGUAGUAUGAGUACAAUCAACUCAAUAAGUAACAGAAAUAAAUAAGAAACUGAGAAGCAGUGACGAGCUAUACAGUAGUACAGUACGGUUCAUUUUAAGAGUUUUCAGUAAAGAGUGAACAUACUUUCAAAUCCUGUGGUAUAAGUCAAAUUAGUUUGCGCUCAUGUAAAACAGAUAUGAAUCUUCCCGAAAUUUCACAACAACAACAGUUAACAACUAAGUGCAACAAUAAAUAAAAGCAAGUACAGCCUCUCAAGGCAGCAGUCACUCAACCCAUCUCAACAGCUCACACUCUCGGCUCUCGGCUCUCGGCUCUCGGCCCUCAAUACACACUCUCAAUAGGUACCUGCGCUCACUGGGGAUGUUCAGACUCAUGAGGGGCUCCUACAGCCUAAGUGCUAUAAUCCGCACAGAUAACUCACGUGCUGCACAGACAACUCAUGUUCUAUAAUAUCAUAUCUAGAUAUGCACGGACAACUCACGUGCCAUAGUAUAAAUAUAAGGAUCCGCACGGAAAACUCACGUGCCAUAGAACAAUACCUCACGUGCCAUAGAAAAUAAAAGGUCGUGCAUGUGUAACCUAUGUGAAUAUUAAUCGACCCAAAAGAAGUCAAUGUUUAACAGAAUUACAUGUGCAUCUUGUGGUAAUAAUUGCGUGAUAAUUAUUUUGUUUUACGUGGGAAUAAUAAAUUGGCCCAAAGGAAGAUUUAUUAUUUGACAUGUUCUUUAUUAUCAGCCUUUGAUCACUACACCAACACACCACUUACAAGUUAAUAUUUUGUCCAAAGAUGAAAUAUUAAUGGAGUGCGUGGUACCUUGAGAUAAGGUUUACCUUUAUUCAAAUUUAUUUUUAUUUUAGUUUGAAGUAUAUGUGAGCUUAUUUGUUAUUUAUUGCUCUCCAAGUCAAUUGAAAUGUCACGACCCAAAAUGCGUCUAAGUAUUAUAAAAUCAAAGUUGAACUCAAUAUAGAAUCAAAAUGCGGAAACCAACCCCAAACAUCAGGGGUGUCACUAGUCAUGAGCGUCUAAGUAUUUUAAAACUAUUACAGUCAAUGUCUAAUUAUCAGUAUAAAACAGAAAGAAAUAUGGAAGGAGUAACAAGGUCCUGCGAAUACGGGCAGCUACCUUGCAGUCUCUGAAACUCCAACAUGCCUGGACUCAACAAUCUCCAUGCUCAGACACACCUGGAUCUGCACAUGUAGUGCAUGGUGUAGUAUGAGUACAACCAACUCUGCAAGUAACAGAAAUAAAUAAGGAAUUGAGAAGCGGUGAUGAGCUAUACAGUACAGUUCAUUUUAAAAGUUUUCCGUAAAGAGUGAACAUGCUUUCAAAUCCUGUGGUAUAAGUCAAAUCAGUUCGAGCUCAUAUAAAACAGAUAUGAAUCUUCUAGAAAUUUCACAACAACAACAAAUAACAACUAAGUGCAACAAUAAAUAAAAGUAAGUACAGCCUCUCAAGGCAGCAGUCACUCAACCCAUCUCAACAGCUCACAUUCUCGGCUCUUAGCCCUCAAUACACACUCUCAAUAGGUACCUGCACUCACUAGGGGUGUUCAGACUCAUGAGGGGCUCCUACAGCCCAAGCGCUAUAAUCCGCAUGGACAACUCAUGUGCUGCACGGACAACUCAUGUGCUACACGGACAACUCACGUGCUAUAAUAUCAUAUCUGGAUCCGCACGGAAAACUCACGUGCCAUAGUAUAAAUAUAAGGAUCCGUACGGACAACUCACGUGCCAUAGAACAAUACCUCACAUGCCAUAGAACAUAAAAGGUUGUGCAUGUGUAACCUAUGUGAAGAUUGAUCGACCCAAAAGAAGUCAAUGUUCAAUAGAAUUACAUGUGUAUCUUGUGGUAAUAAUUGCGUGAUAAUUAUUUGAUUUUACGUGGGUGUCACGACCCAAAAUCCAAAAAAGGCCGUGAUGGCGCCGGACACCACUGUCAGGAAAGCCAACCAUAAUCGAUUAACUUAAUUACCUAUUUUAGUAUUUUUGAAAUAAAAAUUUGUUCAAUGAAAUAAUAAAGAUAAAACUCAUAGAGUAAAUGAUAAAUAUUUUUAACAACUAAAUUUCUAUAACAAUUAACAACCAUUCCCAAAAUCCGGUGUCACUAGUGCACGAGCAUUUACUAGGGAAUUAAAAAUAAAAUAUAGCAUCUGUCUAGAAUACAAAUUAGACAGAAAAAAUAUAAUAACCCUGAAGGAGACUCUGUUGGCUGCGGAUCGUAAUACAGAAUGCAGCUCACAUAUGUCCCCACAAUUAUUAACCACACCUCUGCGCCCACAAGGCCACUAGACAUAUAUGUACCUCCAUAAUAAAAUGUGCAGCAAGUGCAGUAUGAGUANNNNNNNNNNNNNNNNNNNNNNNNNNNNNNNNNNNNNNNNNNNNNNNNNNNNNNNNNNNNNNNNNNNNNNNNNNNNNNNNNNNNNNNNNNNNNNNNNNNNNNNNNNNNNNNNNNNNNNNNNNNNNNNNNNNNNNNNNNNNNNNNNNNNNNNNNNNNNNNNNNNNNNNNNNNNNNNNNNNNNNNNNNNNNNNNNNNNNNNNNNNNNNNNNNNNNNNNNNNNNNNNNNNNNNNNNNNNNNNNNNNNNNNNNNNNNNNNNNNNNNNNNNNNNNNNNNNNNNNNNNNNNNNNNNNNNNNNNNNNNNNNNNNNNNNNNNNNNNNNNNNNNNNNNNNNNNNNNNNNNNNNNNNNNNNNNNNNNNNNNNNNNNNNNNNNNNNNNNNNNNNNNNNNNNNNNNNNNNNNNNNNNNNNNNNNNNNNNNNNNNNNNNNNNNNNNNNNNNNNNNNNNNNNNNNNNNNNNNNNNNNNNNNNNNNNNNNNNNNNNNNNNNNNNNNNNNNNNNNNNNNNNNNNNNNNNNNNNNNNNNNNNNNNNNNNNNNNNNNNNNNNNNNNNNNNNNNNNNNNNNNNNNNNNNNNNNNNNNNNNNNNNNNNNNNNNNNNNNNNNNNNNNNNNNNNNNNNNNNNNNNNNNNNNNNNNNNNNNNNNNNNNNNNNNNNNNNNNNNNNNNNNNNNNNNNNNNNNNNNNNNNNNNNNNNNNNNNNNNNNNNNNNNNNNNNNNNNNNNNNNNNNNNNNNNNNNNNNNNNNNNNNNNNNNNNNNNNNNNNNNNNNNNNNNNNNNNNNNNNNNNNNNNNNNNNNNNNNNNNNNNNNNNNNNNNNNNNNNNNNNNNNNNNNNNNNNNNNNNNNNNNNNNNNNNNNNNNNNNNNNNNNNNNNNNNNNNNNNNNNNNNNNNNNNNNNNNNNNNNNNNNNNNNNNNNNNNNNNNNNNNNNNNNNNNNNNNNNNNNNNNNNNNNNNNNNNNNNNNNNNNNNNNNNNNNNNNNNNNNNNNNNNNNNUAUUAACCACACCUCUGCGCCCACAAGGCCACUAGACAUAUAUGUACCUCCAUAAUAAAAUGUGCAGCAAGUGCAGUAUGAGUACGAAAAUAAUGUGUACCCAGUAAGUAUCAAGCCUAAUCUCGAAGAGGGAGACGAGAUGGCCGACUUUGACACUCAUUGUGGGUCAAUAAUAUUAAAUAAUCAUGAAAUAGAAAUAUUUAUAUCAACGUGAUUCACAGAGUUAACAGUAAUUUUUAUUGAUCAGUAGAAACAAUUAAAUUCCUUCAAAUGCAUCAAUUCUCAAUAUAUUAAUAAAAUUCCUUCAAUUCAAAUAAAUUUUCAAAUUUAUCAAUUAGUCUCAUUUACAGGAAUAACAUUAAUUCUUAACAAGCAGGAAUAAUAAUUCAAUAAAUUCCAAUAAUUUCUAAUUUAUCAAUUAGCUCACAAGCUACAAUAAACUAUUAAGGUAUCGUGUGAUUAUUAUUAUUAAGCACGAUUUCUGCCGAGGACGUACGGUCCGAUCCAGAGUAUUGUGUACACUGCUGAGAGACGUGCGGCACGAUCCAUAGAUGCAUCUAUCCUAUCGAGGCAUUCGGCCCGCUCCACAAGAAAGGAGGACAUUUUCUUAUGUAUCUCCGGAAAGAGAGUAUAUUUAUUAUAGGAUAAAUUCGGGAGGAAGAAAAAUUUCUUUUAAUAAUUAAUUAAUUUAAAUAGAAAAUCAAGCAUAUGAUAUCUCCAUCCUUUAAUAUCUUUAUCUAACAAUUUACAAUAUAUUCAUAUAUAUAUAUAUCAAAUAAUAUUAAUUAAACAAAGAGUACAAUUUACACAAGUAAUACAUGCUUUGAGUCCUAAACUACCCGGACUUUAGUAUUAAUUGUAGCUACGCAUGGACUCUCGUCACCUCGUGCGUACGUAGCCCCCGCAAUUAGCAAUAAUUAUUCAAUUUAAUCCCUAUAGGGUAAUUUUCCCCUCACAAGAUUAGACAAGAGACUUACCUUAUCUCAAAGCCCACUUCUGAUCACGAUGUCGUGUAAAAACUUCAAUUCGAUGCCGAAAAAUUCGAAACUAUCUAAAAGUUAUAUAAAAUAAUUAAUACAUGUUCAAUAAUUCGAAAUAAGUCUAUCAAUUCAAUUACCCAACCCAAAAUGGUAAUAUUCCUAAAAUUCACCCCGGACCCACGCGCCCGAAUUUUGGAAAUUUUCGGAGGGAAUUGUUACCCAUAAUCUCAAGAACUCAAAUAUAUCAUUUCUAUCCAAUUUCAUAACCAUUUUCGUGGUGAAAAAUCAAAAAUACCAAUUUCUAAGUUUUUCUUCAAAACUCCAAAUUUUUACAAAUUUUAAUGUCUAAAUCCAUGUAUAAACCUUGUAUUUAACUCACAACUAGUAGGAAUCACUUACCUCAUGGUUUAUGGUGGAAAUGGUGCUCAACAAUCGUCCCCAAAAUCGGCUCCCAUGAAAAAAUAGAGUGGAAAUGAGUCCAACCCCCCGUCUUUAACAGAACACUGCCCAGAACCGUUCAUCUUCGCGUUCGCGAAGGCCAAAUUUUCCUGCCCCAGUAUUUUCCCUUCGCGUUCGCAUGACCAGUGUCGCGUUCACGAAGGCCUGUCCAUGCAAGGCAUCACAUUCACGUUCAAGCCAUCGCGUUCGCGUAGGCCAAAUAGCCUUAGGNNNNNNNNNNNNNNNNNNNNNNNNNNNNNNNNNNNNNNNNNNNNNNNNNNNNNNNNNNNNNNNNNNNNNNNNNNNNNNNNNNNNNNNNNNNNNNNNNNNNNNNNNNNNNNNNNNNNNNNNNNNNNNNNNNNNNNNNNNNNNNNNNNNNNNNNNNNNNNNNNNNNNNNNNNNNNNNNNNNNNNNNNNNNNNNNNNNNNNNNNNNNNNNNNNNNNNNNNNNNNNNNNNNNNNNNNNNNNNNNNNNNNNNNNNNNNNNNNNNNNNNNNNNNNNNNNNNNNNNNNNNNNNNNNNNNNNNNNNNNNNNNNNNNNNNNNNNNNNNNNNNNNCUACAUUCGAUUCCAGAACCUAUCAAAUCACAUCCGAUUGACCUCAAAUUUUGCACACAAGUCACAUUCGACAUUACGAACCUACUCCAACUUUCGGAAUCGGAAUCCGACUGUAAUAUCAAAAAGUCCACUUCCGAUCAAACUUCUCAAAAACCUUCAAAUUUCUAGCUUUAGCCAAAUGACUCCAAAAUAACCUACGGACCUCCGAAUCCACUUCCGAACGCGCUCCCAAUUCCAGAAUCAUCAUACGGAGCUAUACCCAUACUCAAAAUCUCAAACGGAUAUCGAUAACCUUGAAAUGCACUUCAACCCAAAUUUAUAGAAUUCUUCCAAAAUGUUAACUUCCACAAUAGGUGCCGAAACACUCGCGGGAUAUCCAAAACCCGAUACAGACAUACGCCCAAGUCCGAAAUCAUCAUACGAACUUGUUAGAACCUUCAAAUCCCAAUCGUUUACUCAAAAAUCCAACUUUAGUCAAUUCUUCCAACUUAAAGCUUCUGAAAGAAGAAUUUUCUUUCCAGAUCAACUCUGAACUUCCAAAAUUUCAAUUCCGACCACGCGUGCAAGUCAGAAUACCUGAAGUGAAGCUACUUGUGGCCUCAAACUGCUAAAUGACGCGCUAGGGCUAAAAACGGCCGGUCGGGUCGUUACAGUGGGAAUAAUAAAUUUUCCCAAAGCAACAAUUCCUCACAUGCCAUAGAACAUAAAAGGUUGUGCAUGUGUAACCUACGUGAAUAUUGAUCUGCCCAAAAGAAGUCAAUGUUUAACAAAAUUACAUGUGCAUCUUGUGGUAAUAAUUGCAUAAUAAUUAUUAGGUUUUACAUGGGAAUAAUAAAUUGGCCCAAAGAAAGAUUUAUUAUUUGACAUAUUCUUUAUUAUCAGUGUUUGAUCACUACACCAACACACCACUUACAAGUUAAUAUUUUGUCCAAAUAAAAAUAUUAAUGAAGUGUCUGGUACCUUGAGAUAAGGUUUACCUUUAUUUAAAUUUAUUUUUAUUUUAGUUUGAAGUAUAUGUGAGCAUAUUUGUUAUUUAUUGCUCUCCAAGUCAACUGAAAUGUCACGACCCAAAACCUAACCCGUCGUGAUGGUGCCUAUCGGUGGUACUAGGCAAGCCGACCUUCCCAAAAAUACUUCCAAACUAAAUAUAAAGUAAAGUAAAAAAAAGCUUUGCAUAUCAGGAAUUUUUCAUAAAAUCAAAGUUGAACUUAAUAUAGAAUCAAAAUGCAGAAACCAACCCCAAACAUCGGGGUGUCACUAGUCAUGAGAGUCUAAGUAUUUAAAACUAUUACAGUCAAUGUCUAAUUAUUAGUACAAAACGGAAAGAAAUGUGGAAGGAGUAACAAGGUCCUGCGGACACUGGCAGCUACCUUGGAGUCUCCGAAACUCAAACAGGCCUGGACUCAACAAUCUCCGUACUCAGACAUACUUGGAUAUGCACAUGUAGUGCAGGGUGUAGUAUGAGUACAACCAACUCAGCAAGUAAAAGAAAUAAAUAAGGAACUGAGAAGCAGUGACGAGCUAUACAGUACAGUUCAUUUUUAAAAGUUUUCAGUAAAGAGUGAACAUGCUUUCAAAUCCUGUGGUAUAAGUCAAAAUAGUUAGCGCUCAUGUAAAAUAGAUAUGAAUCUUCCCAAAAUUUCACAACAACAAUAGAUAACAACUAAGUGCAACAAUAAAUAAAAGCAAGUACAGCCUCUCAAGGCAGCAGUCACUCAACCCAUCUCAACAACUCACACUCUCGGCUCUCAGCCCUCAAUACACACUCUCAAUAGAUACCUGUGCUCACUGGGGGUGUUCAGACUCAUGAGGGGCUCCUACAACCCAAGCGCUAUAAUCCGCACAAACAACUCAUGUGAUGCACGAACAACUCACGUGCUAUAAUAUCAUAUCUGGAUCCGCACGGACAACUCAAGUGAUGCACGGAUAACUCACGUGCCAUAGUAUAAAUAUAAGGAUCUGCACAGAUAACUCACGUGCCAUAGAACAAUACCUAACGUGCCAUAGAACAUAAAAGGUUGUGCAUGUGUAACCUAUAUGAAUAUUGAUCGCCCCAAAAGAAGUUAAUGUUUAACAGAAUUACAUGUGCAUCUUGUGGUAAUAAUAACGUGAUAAUUAUUUGGUUUUACGUGGGAAUGAUAAAUUGGCCCGAAGGAAGAUUUAUUAUUUGACAUGUUCUUUAUUAUCAAUGUUUGAUCACUACAUCAACACACCACUUACAAAUUAAUAUUUUGUCCAAAGAUGAAAUAUUAAUAGAGUGCCUAGUACCUUGAGAUAAGGUUUACCUUUAUUCAAAUUUAUUUUUAUUUUAGUUUGAAGUAUAUGUGAGCUUAUUUGUUAUUUAUUGCUCUCCGAGUCAACUGAAAUGUCACGACCCAAAACCUAACCCGUCAUGAUGGCGCCUAUCGAUGGUACUAGGCAAGACGACCUUCCCAAAAAUACUUCCAAACUAAAUAUAAAAGUAAACUAAAGAAAAACUUUCCAUAUCAUGAAUUUUUCAUAAAAUCAAAGUUGAACUCAAUAUAGAAUCAAAAUGCGGAAACCAACCCCAAACAUCGGGGUGUCACUAGUCAUGAGCGUCUAAGUAUUUAAAACUAUUACAGUCAAUGUCUAAUUAUUAGUACAAAACGGGAAGAAAUAUGGAAAGAGUAACAAGGUCCUGCGGACGCUGGCAACUACCUUGCAGUCUCCGAAACUCAAACAGGCCCGGACUCAACAAUCUUCAUGCUCAGACACACCUGGAUAUGCACAUGUAGUGCAGGGUGUAGUAUGAGUACAACCAACUCAGCAAGUAAUAGAAAUAAAUAAGGAACUGAGAAGCAGUGACGAGCUAUACAGUACAGUUCAUUUUAAAAGUUUUCAUUAAAGAGUGAACAUGCUUUCAAAUCAUGUGGUAUAAGUCAAAUCAGUUCGUGCUCAUGUAAAACAUAUAUGAAGCUUCCCGAAAUUUCACAACAACAGAUAACAACUAAGUGCAACAAUAAAUAAAAGCAAGUACAACCUCUCAAGGCAGCAGUCACUCAACCUAUCUCAACAACUCACACUCUCGGCUCUCAGCCCUCAAUACACACUCUCAAUAGGUACCUAUGCUCACUAGGGGUGUUCAGACUCAUGAGGGGCUCCUACAACCCAAGCGCUAUAAUCCGCACGAACAACUCACGUGUUGCACGGACAACUCACGUGCUAUAAUAUCAUAUCUGGAUCCGUACGGACAACUCACGUGCCAUAGUAUAAACAUAACGAUCCGCACGGACAACUCACGUACCAUAGAACAAUACCUCACAAACAGGCCCUCGGCCUUACUCAGUCAUGAACCUCUCUAGUCUCAAAGCUCUCAAUAAAGAAAGGAAAAGCAGCCCAAAUCAAAGUGUUACAGUAUAUCAUCAGGGAAAAUAGCAGAGACUGAGGUAAACAUGUACAAGAAACACUAUGACUGAAUAUAACUACCAGGAGCAGAAAUAUAGCCCAAGCAAGAUUUCUAACAUGAAAGGCAGUCAAGUUCUAGUAGACAGGAAUGCAUAUGAACACAAAUUAAGGUUAUUAGACUUCACAGUCUCCCUGAACGGACCAAGUCUCGAUCCCCUGCGGCGUACAUCCACACCCCCAUCACCUAGCAUGGGUGCCACCUCCAAACAAUCACAUUAUACCAACUCUGGAUUUCAUACCCUCAAGGCCAGAUUUAAAACUGUUAUUUACCUCAAUAGUGUAGAACUCCUACUCCGAAAUGCCAUUUCCUCUCGAACCGGCCUCCAAAUGACCCGAAUAUAGCCACAAGCAAUAAAAUAUGAUCAAUAUGAGCUAAAGAAUGAAUCCCACAAGGGAAAUAUCAAAUUAUGGGCCAAAUCCCGAAAUUCACUCAAACUUGGCACCCGGGCCCACGUCUCGAAAUCCUACAGAAGUCAUAAAACCGAUCAUUCACUCCCGAGUCUACCCCUACUAAAUUCAUAAAAUUCCGGCCUCAUUUGGUCCCUCAAAUCCCCAAAUUACUCUCUCCAAAAUUCCAAGCCCUAACCCCUUAUUUCACUCCAAAAAUCCUACAAAUUAGGUGAGAAAUUAACGGGAAAACAUCAUAGCUAAUGAUAAUAGAGCUCAAGCAACUUACCUCAGUGAAUCCCCUUCAAAAAUCACUCCAAAAGCUCCAAAACCCGACUUGAAAAUGGUGGAAAUGAACCAAAAUUCGCGAAGUGUUCAAUUUAUAGUUUCUGCCCAGGUCUUUCGCACCUGCGGCUACACAUGCGCACCUGCGGUGCCGCAUAUGCGCAAGAACCUCCGCACCUGCAAAAAAUCAAUAAAUCCCCCAACCUCUUACCUGCGCUCCAUAUCCGCAUCUGCGACCACACAGGUGCGGAAAAAACCUUGCACAUGCGGCCACUGCCUGACCUCCUCACUUCUGCUUUUGCGGGCACCUGUCUGAAUUUGCGGACUCGCAGAUACGACCUCUCCUACGCACUUGUGGACCCAGCCUACCUCAACACUGCCCGCACCAGCGAACUCCCACGCGCGCCUGCGACCUCGCACCUGCGGCUCCCCCUCCGCAUGUGCGAAAAUACCAGUAGCAACAGCUUCACCUGCAUUCUCCAACUUCAAACAAUUCGUUAACCACCUGGACUCACCCCGAGCCCCUCGGUACAUCGACCAAACAUACCAAUAAGUUAUAUAUAAACAUACAAACUUAAUCGAACCUUCAAAACACUCAAACAACAUCAAAACACCAAAUUACCCUCGGAUUCAAGCCUAAGAAGUUCUAAACUUUCAAAUUUGACAACCGAUGUCGAAACCAACCAAACCACGUCCGAAUGACCUCAAAUUUUACACACACAUCACAAAUGACACCACGAACCUACUCUAACUUCCGAAAAUCUAUUUCGACCCUGAUAUCAAAUUUUCCACUACGGACCUCCAAAUCACAUUCCGGACGCUCUCCUAAGUCCAAAAUCACCUAAUGAAGCUAAUGGAACCAUCAGAAUUAAAUUUUGAGAUCGUUUAUAUAUAAUUCAACAUCCGGUUGACUUUUCUAACUUAAGCUUAUAAAUAAGAGACUAAGUGUCUCAAUCCACUCCGAAACGACUGCCCCGCUGUCUCCGACAUGGACCCGGUGAAAUUGAAUUCUCCGUGAAGAUGCGGAGUACCAACGGCUAGACGGUAAGACCCCGUGCACCUUAACUAUAGCUUCGCAGUGACAACCUUAAUCGAAUGUGUAGGAUAGGUGGGAGGUGGUGACACACAACGACCAAUCCUGAAAGACCACUCUUUCGUCUAAGGAUGCGGCUUGGCCUUUUGGACAAGCAGAUAGCACAUGACCAAAAGUUUUUACACCCAUGAGCUAAGGCACCACCCUUCUUUCCGACCCGGAUUGGAAGAAUUUUCCACAUACUGAGGUUUUGGGUCUUCAUGAGUAGUUCUUGUCGACGAUCCCUUGAAAAAAGUCCUUUGUUGAGCCGGCUUUCGCCCCUGACAAAGGACUUUCCCUGGGUUGGGACUCUUUGGACAGGACCACUCUGUACCCGAACCAACUAACCUGGUAUAUCAUGACAUAGCUGAAAAGCACAAAAGAAAGCAGAAAUGGGGAUAACAGGACUAUAACUCUCGAAACGACCGGUUGGGUCGUUACAUGAAAUUACUCCUGCAAAUAUUACUCCCAACAUCAAUUCAAUUCCUACGUUAAGUGGCACUAACUUCAAGUCAUGGUAAGAGACCCUCAGUUUAGUUCUCGGAGUCAUAAAUCUCGACCUUGAGUUAAAAGUUGAUUCUCCACCACCUAUUACAGAUAAGAGUACCUGUAAUGAAGAGAGGGAUACGGAAAGGUAUGAGAGAUCAAAUCGCAUGUGUAUGGUGAUCAUGAAGAAAGCCAUUCCAGAAACAUUCAGGGGCGAUAUGCCCGACAAAGUUAAGACGGCAAAAGAAUUUAUGGCUGAAAUUCAAAAAGUAUUUGGCAAGAGUGAAAAAGAUAAGAUUGGUACACUCUUGACAGGUUUGAUUUCAAUGAGGUAUCAAGACAAAGGUAACAUCAGGAAGUACAUCAUACAAAUGUCUCAUCUUGCUUCUAAAUUGAAAGGAUUUAAGUUGGAUAUCUCUGAGGACUUGAUAGUGCAUUUGGUUUUGAUAUUCCUUCCACCAUAGUUUAGCCAGUUUAAGGUGAGCUAUAAUUAUCAGAAAGAGACUUGGUCUCUAAAUGAGCUCAUCUCACACUGUGUUCAGGAAGGGUAUAUAUUGAAGCAUGAAAAGAUAGAAAGUGCUCACUUAGUUGCUAUGCCUGAGGACUAAUGGAAGGACAAGAAGAUAAAGAAUAAGAAAGCUGCGAAUACAGCAACACAAAAUAAACAACAUCAGGAACCAAUUACAAAUGGUUGUUUCUUUUGUAAAGCUCCAGGUCAUAAGAAGAAGGAUUGUACCAACUAUCACGCAUGGCAUACAAAGAAAGGUACAUCUCUUAAUUUUGUUUGUUCUAAGGUUAAUUUAACUUCGGUACUAGGACACAAAUGAUGGAUAAAUUCCGAUAUAAUAACUCACAUCACUGUGUCUAUGCAGGGUUUCUUGAUCUAUCGAAAGCCUAAUGAUAGUGAACGAUACAUCUAUGAUGGUGAUGGAAAGUCGGUGGAAGUCGAAGCAAUUGGAACUUUUAGAUUAUUGUUAAUAACCAGGUUUAUUUGAAUUUGAACGAGACUUGUAUUGCACCAUUUUUUUGGAUGAAAUUUGAUUUCUACUUCUAUAUUAGACAAGUUUGGUUAUUUUUAUUUAUUUGGAAGUGAAAAAAAUUAGUCUUUGUUCGUAAUUCAAAAUUGAUUGAUCUCGGUUCUUUAUCAGGUUAUAAUAAUCUAUACUUACUUGAUAUUGUUGCUUCAUUCAAUGAACCUUGCAUGUUAACAUAACUGGUAAUAAUGGUAAAUUAACUAUCAGUAGUCAGCUUCUUUAUGGCACGAUAUAUUAGGUCAUAUCGCUAAAGGAGAAUUAAGAGACUUUAGUCCAAUAAUAUUUUCUAUCAUCUUAAUUUUUUAGAAUUUUUAUCCCACUAUUAAGGCUACUUUUUCCAAUAGUGUGAGGUUCUUUGAGGAUGUUGAGUUUGCAGGGGGAGAGAGAUUUAAGGACUUUGUCUUUGAAGAGGAACAUAUUGAUAUUCCUCUAAUUGUUAUCCUCAAUUCUCAAGAACAACGUUCUAUACAUGACAUUAUUCAAGAAGCAAAUUCGGAUCAAAGACAAUAAUGUUCAACCCGUCCUUCAAGAAGUAGUUCCCAAAUAACAAACUCUACAACCUCAAGAAUAAAUUUCCAUUAAAAAAUCAUCUAUGAACUUAAGAAAGUGUCUCAUUAAUAGUAUUACUAAUUUUAUCAAGUUAUCUUCUCAUUUCAUUUCGAGAUAAACCUUGUUAAUUAUUGUGUAUAUCACAAGUUAGUGGGAGUAAGUAUAUUUUUUAUUGUCUGAUGUAUGAUCAGCUUUGUAUGCGUCCGAAUAUCUCAUUUAAUUUAGGAAUGUUGGACAAAUAUUUAAAUAAUUUAUAAACUUAUCUUUUGAAAGCAGCUUAAAGGUUCAAAGGGUAAUUACAAGAGAACAAAUAUUUUAUGCUCACAUAAAAAAGUCAAAAAAGUUAAAGAUAAUCAGGUAUUCGGAUAUCGACUUCAUUAGAUGCUUAUAUAAUAUGAUAUACUUGGUUGAUGAGCUAUAUAAGGAAAAGUGUUAAACGAACACUCAUAGAUCUUUUCACCAAGGUAGUUAACUUAUAACAUAUUAUGUAGUAUCUAAUUAUGGAAUAUGACUACUGAAUUUUGUCAUUGGCUGCGAAUCUAUGGAUAAAGUUGAAAGGACAAAGUUAUUUUUGUGACAAUAAGCUAGAAGUCUUGUAUUCCAAUAACAACAGGAGUUUGGUAAAGUCAAACCAUAUUAACAUAAAGUUCCGGGAUGUUAAAGAAAGAGUUCAGAGUGAUUAGGAGUCUAUAGAACAUAUUAAUACAAAUUCCAUAGUUGUGGAUACACUUACUAAGGGACUACUACCCAAGAUCUUUCUUAGGCAUACUGCUCAUAUGGGUGUCAUUCAUUUAGGAAUAUUCAGUUUCAGUGGGAGUUUAUAACCAUUUAAAUAUUCUUUACAAACACAAUUUGUCUUUCAGUUUAAGGUUUCAAGUUACAGUUAAGGAUACUUGAGGUAAUUACUGCAAAAAUAAAGUAUUCAGUUUAUUUUUUACUCUAUCUUAUUUUUCAGCUGAACCAGUUGAAAAUAGGCAUGCUUGGAUCAGAUUGUAUGUAAUUUUCAUGCUACGCAUCCAUACUUGAUCUAUGUCAUUUGGUUAUGUUGGUAUUCGUGAUCAAGGAAGGUUUAGUUACAAUAAAAGUAAUAAAAGUUGCUUGGGUCCAAUAUUUGCAUGAUUGAUAUACGGGAUUAUUCGAAGGUACUUUGGUUUAUGAUAGAAAAUAUUUUUGAGCUCGUAAGGUGACAUACAAUUAUAAAGUCGUAACGAUCCGACCGAUCAUUUUAAGUAUUGUAGUCUCUCUUCCCCAUUUGUUGCUUAUUUUAUAUUCAAUUGUGGUUAUGGGACUUGUCAGGGUGGUUGGUUUGGUUCCGAAAAUAUUUUGGAAUGAAUAGGGACACUUAGUCCCAAAGUUGGAAUCUUAAGUUGAAAGAGUUGACCGGAUGUUGACUUAUGAGUAAAUGACUCCGGCAUGGAGUUUUGAUGGUUUUGAUAGCUUCAUAUGGUAAUUUUGGACUUAGAAGUAUGUCCAGAUAUUGAUUUGGAGGUAUAUAGGUCAUUUUUGCUUGAAUUGGUAAAAGUUGAAAAGUUGAGAAGUUUGACCGAGAGUUAACUUUGUUGAUACCGGGCUCGGAUUUUAGUUCCGGAUGUUAGAAUAGGUCCAUAUUAUCAUUAAUGAUUGGUGUGAAAAAUUUUAGAUCAAUCGGAAUUGGUUUGGUAGGUUUCGACAUUGGUUUUAGAAGUUAAAAAUUCAUUAGUUUCAAUUUCAAUAGGCUUUAAUUGGGGUGUGAUUCGUGUUUUUAUUGUUGUUUGAUGUGAUUUGAGGCUUUGACUAAGUUUGAAUAAUGUUUUAGGGUGUGUUGGCAUGCUUGAAUGGGGUCCCGGGGGACUCGGAUAAGAUUCAGAUUGAUUUCGGAUUGAGUUUUGGACUUAUGGAAAAUAUGCUAUGUUCAUGUCUGGUAUAACCGCACCUGUGUGGAAUUGGCCGCAGAUGCGGAAUUGGGCAAGGCUGGGUAUAUGUGCAGGUGCGAGAAAAUUUCCGCAUAGAUGGUCGCAGAAGCAGAGGUUGGCCUUGGAGGCUUUAUCGCAGAAGCGGAGCUAACUCCGCAGAAGCGGGGUGAGAGCAGUAGAAGCGGCUGGUCGGGACUUUAGUGGGCUUCGCAUAAGCGGUUGUUUUUUCGCAAAAGUGGGACUCCAGAUGCGGCUUUUGUGUCCGCAGGUGCGAGAUGCCUGGACAGAAGGUUAUAAUCGAGGGUUUGGACAUUUCUUUCAUUUUUAGACUUUGGAAGCUCAGUUUGUGGUGAUUGAGAAGAAUUUCACUAUAUUUCAAGAGGUAAGCAACUUUUGAUCAUUUUUAUCCAUUAAUAUUGAAUACCUAUUGAUUUUCUCACCUAGAUUGUGUGUUUUGAGGUGAAAUUUGGGGAAUUUUGGACUAAGUAUUGGAGAGCAAGAUUUUGAGAUUUGAGGGUCAAUUUAUGAUUAGAAUUGAAUGAUUUUGAUAUGAUUGUACUCGUUAUUGAAUGGGUGUUCGGAUUUUGUGAAUUUUGCUGGGUUCUGAGGCAUGGGCCCUGGGUUGACUUUUUUGAAUUUGAUUAAAAAACUUAGCUUUAUCGUAUGGAAUUGAUUCCUAUAGAUUGUAUUGAUUAUAUUAAGUUGUUUAUGACUAGAUUCGCGUCGUUUGAAGGCCGAUUCGCGAGGAAAAGGUUUGUUGGAGCAUUGAGUUGCGCACUUUGAGGUAUGUAACACUUUUAAACUUGGUACUGAGGGUAUGAAUCCAUGUAAUUCGUGUUAUAUGGUUGGUGUUGAGGUGACGCACAUGCUAGGUGACUGGCCUGUGGGCGUGCACCAUGGUAAUUAUGACUCGGUUGAUUUUGUGAUACCGUGUAGUUAUCUAGUCUUGUUUUAUCUAUGUAAUUCCUACGUGCUAGAUUAAUUGAGCUGUGAUCCAUGUUAGAAAUCAUAUUUAGGCUAUGUGUUUAUUAUGUUAGAACCCACUUAGGUUAUUUCUACUGUUGAGUUAUUUGCUUAAGCUGCAAUUAUGUACUCAGUCAUGUUUAUGCAUUUGCAUAUCAUAUCUUACUCUCUGUUAUCAUUACUGUUACAUUAUGUUAUCAUUGUUUGGGCUGAGAGGUAUGAGAUUGUGAGCCCGUGAGACUAGAGAGAUUGAUGACUGAGUUGGGGCUUGAGAGCCGGACUGUGAGUGGUAUUGUGGAUUGGGCUGCACACCGCAGUAGGCCAUAUUGGCUUUACAUCUAUUAUUAUUAUUAUUAUUAUUAUUAUUAUUAUUAUUAUUAUUAUUAUUAUUAUGGAUCGGGCGGCACACUGCAGCAAGCCUUAUUGGCUUAUUUAUUUUUGUGGAUCGGGUUGCAUAUCGCAGCAGGCCUUAUAGGCUUUAUAUCCGCACUUGGGCAUGAUCUGCCCCCUCCGGAGUCUGACAUACCAGCAGCGAGCGCAAACACAAUGAUUUAUAUAUACGUGCUUUGGCAAGGGGCAUUGAUGUUAGGCACUCGUACAAUGCUGAGUGAUUGUGUGUGAUGAGUAAGAAAUAAGAUAGACAGAUUGAGUACUCUAAGAGUGUGAGUACUUGGGAUUAUCAUUGUGAUACAUUACAUUUGAUAUGCAUAUUUGACAUGUAGUCAUAGAAAUGUAACAUUCCUUAUGCUAGUUGUACUUGGCAUAUUUUUUCAAUGUUGAGCUUAAAUUGUAGAAACUGAAAGCAUGCCUAAAUUUCUGUACUAUGUACGAGUUGAAUAUGGAAGUUUUUUUGAGUUAUUACUAUCAUUAUCUUGUUAUAUAUGUGUUAUCACUAUUUGAUUUGGACUAUAUCUUUCUGAGCUCGUCACUACUUUCAGUCCAAGGUUAGUCAUGUUACUUAUUGAAUACAUUGGGUCGGUUAUACUCAUACUAUACUCUGCACUUCAUGUGCAGAUCCAGGUACAUCUAGAUGCGGUGAUUGCUAGAGUGGUGAUAGUACCGAUUCAGAGACUUCGAUGUAGCUAUUAUGACGCCCGCAGACCUUGACUUUCUUUCCUUUCGUUUUAUUUCAGUGAUGUUCUAUUUUUCUCAAAUAGUUGUACUAGAGUUUCAGACUAUGUUGACACUUAGUAGCUCAUGUACUCAGUGACACCAGGAUUUUGGGAUUGUUGUAGUUGAGUUACAGUUAUUUUAUCAGUUUUCAAUGAGUUUUUUCCACUGUUGAGCUUAUUGAAUCUUGUUUUUAAUUCAAAUGCGUAGUUGUUAUAUGAUUGUCAACUUGCCUAGUAAUGUGUUAGGCGCCGUCACGACAGGUGAAAUUUUGGGUCGUGACAAAAUUUUGUAUGCAUGUAUGUGUGUGUGUGUGUGUAGUUGUUAUAUGAUUGUCAAUUUUCCUAGUAAUGUGUUAGUCGUAUAACUUCGUAUAAUGUAUGCUAUACGAAGUUAUUAUAUAUUGGUUGCUAUUGUUAAAAGGUUGACCUAAAUUGGAAGUGAUCUAUUAAGUUUUAAAGUUAAAUGGGUAUAUAAAACGCCUUCUAAAGUAUGGGGUUUCAUGUGUAGAUACUCGAAUGUAGUUUUUAAUUUAAUGAUGUACUAAAUUAGAAUUACGUAACAUGUGUGCAUCUAUAAAUAGGGUUAUGGUCCCUAAAUCAGACGUAGGGUUCUUUUCUAAUAUCCCAUCGUUGGAAAAGUGAGAGUAGUCUUCAGUGCAAUUCCUACAUCUUAAUUUGGAAGACCACUAACCGCAAGAUGAGGAGUUUCAUCCGUUCUUAUGGAUUCAAGUAUGCUUCCGUAUCUAGUUUUUAUUUUCGAUGAUUUGACAUGAUAGUUCUUGAGUAAGAGAUGAUGGUGUUAAUGUCUAAAGUAUUUUGGUUCCAACAACUAUGUUUGUCCAAAUGGUAUACAAUUACUUCAUUGAAUUCUCUAAAACAUCUGGGGUAAAAGCAAAAUGUGGCAAAGAGUUCUAUAUACUUUGGGGAUGUACCAUAGGACAUAUAACACGACAUAAUGCAAGCAGUUGGUUUUAGCAUAUGAGAAUUGCCUUUCAAAUACUUGGGUGUUCCACUUAGCACCAAGAGGAUCUCUCUGACACAAUACUACCCAUAACUGAAGAAAAUGAUAGGAGGGAUCACUUUUUGGACCUCAAAAUACUUAUCUUAUGCAGAAGGCUUCAGUUGAUCAAAACAAUAUUAUUUUCCAUCCAAAGCUAUUGGUCACAGAUAUUUGUAAUGCCUAAGAAGCUGGUAAAAAAGAUAGAAGCUGUCUGUCGAACCUUUCUGUGGACAAGUGGAGUAGAAACAUAAAAAAAUCUUUAUUAUCAUGGGAGAAAGUAUGCUCCCCAAUGACUGCUAGUAGAUACAAUGUGCCUGAUGUAUAUGCUUGGAAUAGCGUUGCAAUAUGUAAACUGCUAUUUGAAAGAAAAAGGACAAUUGUGGGUUCACCUAUAUUAUAGGAAGAAGCAAGUAGUGUGGGAAAGCACUCCAAGUACUGCAUCUUGGAUGGUCUAGAAGAUUAUUAAAACAAAGGGAUGCAUAGAAGAAACAUGAAUCAGUAUACAGGAAAUGGCCUCCCGGAACCUCUUCUCUACUGAGAAACUAUAAAAUGCUAUGAGAGGUGAGUUUCAUAAAGUAACUUGGAAGAAACUGAUGUGCAACAACUUAAGGGCUCCAAAAUGGAUUUUUGUGUUGAAUCUGGCUGUACAAAGAAGACUACUUACAAGGGACAAGCUCUAUGCGUGGGGGUUAACAGAUAUGCUAGUCUGCCCUAUGUGCAAUGAUGAAACUGAAUCUAUAAACCACUUACUGUUUAGGUGUAUAGUAUCUGAAAGCAUAUGGAGUAAGUUGCUCAAGGAAUAUCAAGAGCUGUGUUGGAGUGGCAGAGGGAACUGCGAUGGGCAUAAGACAUUGAAAAAGGAAAAAAAUACAACUGCACAACUAUACAAAUUGACUCUGGCAUGUGUGGUUUACCAUAUAUGGAAGGAAUGAAACAUGAGAGUAUUCCAAGGACAACAAAAGAUACCAGGAAUGUUAGUUAGGCAGAUGUGCAAGAGGUUGUUAGCAGGGGAUCAAGGCAGAGCAAGCUAGUGAAGAAAAUCGCAGAGAUGAAUUUUUAUCCUUAGUCUUUACUAUAGAUGUUGGGUAGUUAAAGUUGUUUGAGGCUGGGGUUGUCCAUGCUCAAGGGGCGUCAACAUAUAGGGUGUGUUUGGUAUGAAGGAAAAUAUUUUUCGGAAAUUGUUUUUCAAUUUUUUCAUGUUUGGCUGGCUUAAAUAUUGUAAAGUUAUUUUCCUAAUGAACUCAUUUUUCCUCAAAUUGGAGGAAAAUAUUUUUCCUAUCAAGAGAAGGGAAACAUUUUCCAAAACUCUUUUUCAAUCGUCCCCACCCCUAUUCCCCAUCAACCCCAACCAACCCACACUACAUCCCCACCUACCCACCCCAUCCCACCAAUCCCAUCCCCACUCCCGCCUCCCGACAUCCACCCUAAAUAGAAAUAUUAUUGAUAGCACUUUCCUUUCAUGUUAUAGAUAGAGUAUUUUUUUAUUUCAACAAAUGAGUAUUUUCUUUUCACGAUAUAAUUUUUUUUUUUAAUUUUAACAAAAAAAUAUACUUUCUUUUCAUGAUGAAGAAAAAGUAUUUUCUUUCAUUUUAACAAAAUGAUGUAGUAAAAAAUAUUUUCUUCGUUUCAACAAAAAAAGUAUUUUCUGUCCAUGACGUAGAAAAAGUAUUUUCUUUCAUUUCAACAAAAUGAGUACUUUAUUUUCAUGUUGUAAAAAUAAUACUUUCUUUUUCAACCAUUUUUUUUUGUAGAUAUGGAGCACAAAUUUCAACGUUAUUUUUGUGUAAAAGUAAAGCAUCACAUUGGUUCCUUUGGGUUUAUGUGAAUUUUUAGAAGAAUGAUUAAAUUUUCAAAGAAAAUAGAAUCCUAAAAAUAUUAGGUAUUGGGAGAGGGGGAGAGCACAAGAAACAUGAGAACUUGGGAGAAAGGGGGUGAAGAGAGUAGCAUAAAAAACUAUUUUCUACUCUCUAACCAAAACUAAAAAUUAUUUUCCGGAAAAAGUUUUUCAUUCACCAAUCAAACAAGGAAAAAUAAGUGAUAAAAUCAAUUAUUUUCCAUGAAAAUAUUUUCUAGGAAAAUAAUUUCCAUAAAAAAUAUUUUCCUUCAUACCAAACACACACAUAGUAUAUAUGCAUAUACAAAAAAUUUAAACCUAUCUACAUAGUAUAUUUUUUCGACGAAGGGGUGUCAGUUGAUAUAACAUGCCCCAUGUUGAUACUGAUAAAUAAAAUUAUUUAAUUACAUAAAAAGAAAAAAAAAAAAAAUACUCCACUGUUUAUAGUCUGAACGAGUGAUUAAAUGAAUCCGUCAUAUCUAAAUAACUCAUAUAGUUAGAAGUAGAAAAUUAUUGUAAUUGUAUCAUAAGAGUUAUCUAAACACUAUGCAUAUUUCAUAUGGUCCAUUCGAAAUAGACAAGUUAUUAGCUCUCCCCAAAAUAGUGGCUGCCGUGGUUAGAGCGCUCACGUUGCAUGUGCGUGAAAUCCAAGGACCUCACUCUAGUUUUAGGGACCCAUUUCACGUGGACUCUCCAACCUUAAUUUCAGAGAAUUUAAUAAUAAUUUCAUAAUACACCAAAAAAUGUACUUUAAUAAUUUCAUAUAUAGUGUUUGAGAAUUUCUUUUGACAUAUAUUAAAAAAAUUAAAAUCUAUAAUUUUCGGUACACUAUGUUAUUUUUGUGAUAUAAGAAAUAAGGGAGUAUUUAGUUGUAAUAUAGUAUUCUUAGUGGUCGUUUGAUAUAAUUGAUAAAUAAAAAUAAUUUUGAAAUAAAAAUUUAGUGUUGGCAUUUUACUUGUUUGGUUAUUAAUUCUGGAAUAAAUUAUUUUAAAAUUAAAAAUAAUACCGAAAUAACUUAUGCCUCACAAAUGAUGAAAUAUUAAUCUCAAAAUAAAUUAUCAUUGAAUAAAGUAGUAAAAUUAACAUUCUCGACUAAUAUAACAUAACAAACAAUCACUAAGAAAUAAUACAAGAAUAAUUAAUCAAAUCUUUUUAUAAAUAAUCCCAUCGCAACUUGUUUUUAAACCAAACCACCACUAAAUACUUUUAUUAUCAGUAUAUAUAUAAACUGGCUGUACGGUCAAAUGGAGCAACUCUUUCGUUUUCUUUGUCCUUAGUACGAAUUGAACUUUUUGCUAAGCUUUUCGAGAUCAAGAAAGUAGACCCUUUUCAGGAUUUGCUUCAACUCCUUUUUGAAUUUUAGUCCACUGUCCAAAAAUCACCAUGAACGGGAAGUGGAAAGCACCAUUUUGCAUGCUGUUGGUGUUGUACUCUCUGCUUCUAUCCGCUUUGUUUCAGAGCUGCUUCUCUGCCUUUCAUCUGCCUCGUCCCAUAUGGAAGAAGCAGCAGCUAAAAUCUGGUUCUUCUAUUGUGUUCCCUCUCGCUGGAAACGUAUAUCCUAAAGGGUAUUCACUUCUUUCUUUGUGAUGUUCAGUCAAUGUGAUUUUAUGUGUUUUCAUUAUUUUGGAAUCUUGAUUGUCAGUGAGCUUUUUAAAGUUUUUUACUUGUUUAAAGUUCGUCAAUUCUUGAAGGGUUAUCUUGGAUCAUUUUUUUUCUUAAGAAUUUGUGUGUGUGUGUGUGGUUGGGGGGGGGGGGUAAUUAGUACUGUGUUUGGUGAUAAAUACUAGUCAAUAUUGUAUGAAACAAGGCUUUGUUGAUAGUUGAUACUUACUAUGUUUUGUGAUAAUAGUAGGACUAUUGGCUGGUCAAUCAUACUUAUAUUGUUUGCUGAUUGGGAAGAAAUUGAAGAAUAGUUUGAAGAGAAAAGGGGGAAAUAUAUGAGAAUUGGGGCCAAUACAGUGAAAAGAAGGGAUUUCUAAUAUUAGUCAAACAGAUGAUCAGGCACAAAUUCCUACUUUCUACUUUAUAAUUGUGGACAAUAGAGUUCCUUCUGAAUCUUAGCUGAUAGAUAUUAAAUGAAAGUACAAGUGCUGAAGGGAAAGUUGUGACUGAUUUAAGUGAUUGCUUCCCGUGUCUAAGCUUUGUAGACAGAGUUAUCCAAUACAUGUAAUGGUGGGAGAUAGCAGGUUUCUGGUGGAUUAGUCAAGGUGCACAUAAACUAGCCCAAACACCACCGUUAUUAAAAAACCAAAAGAAUUAGAUAAAUAAAAGAUUAUCUGUAAUUUUCAAGAUCUGACAUUCAUAUUUUUUCUUCUGUCUGAAAUUCUGAAAUAAACAUAUUUUUAUCCAUGUUCUUUCUUGUAAAUCCAGGUGGUCUCUUUACGUGCAGGUAUUAUCAGGUGACACUUGAGGUUGGCCAACCUCCCAAACCUUACUCUCUUGAUAUAGACACUGGUAGUGACCUAACUUGGCUGCAGUGUGAUGCGCCUUGUGCGAAAUGCACCCCGGUAUAUUACUGCCUUUUCCUUGUCUGUAACUUAAAAUCUUUGAAGUAAAAGUCAUCCUGAAAGACCAUGAGUUCAUCUGAUAUUUGUAUGUCAUUAUAUAAAUGCACGUUCAACCCUAAAGCAUUAGUCUAUUUUGUCUUAACGUACACAUGAAUAUGCGCCAUGGCAGGCCCCUCACAGUCUUUACAAACCAAAUGAAAAUGUUGUCACGUGUAAGGAUCCUGUAUGCACGUCCCUUCACUGGCCCGAGAACCAUCCUUGUCACGGCCCGGAUGAGCAAUGUGAUUAUGAGGUUGCAUAUGCAGAUCGUGGUUCAUCCUUGGGAGUUCUAGUCAAAGACGCUUUUCCACUACGAUUCACCAAUGGUAGCAUUGUUGUUCCUCAUCUAGUAUUUGGGUGAGAAGCAUUUAGUAUACCUUUAUUUGACCUUAAAAAUUUUAACUCUCGAGGCCUUUUUGGUUCUUUCACUCACAUUCUUUUGUUAAAAUGUGAUGCUUCUAAUUUGUGACCUCCUGAAUUGAGUCAUCUUACAUAGUUUUGACACCAAGUUGUUUUUUAUGGAUGAAAUUGUUUGCCUUGCUUUUGACACCAAGUUGUUAUUCAUCGAUGAAAUUGUUUGCCUUGCCAACAGAUGAGCUCCUGAAUUGAGUCAUCUUACAUAGUUUUUGACACCAAGUUGUUAUUCAUCGAUGAAAUUGUUUGCCUUGCCAAAAGAGAAAAAUUAAUUGAGUCGUCUUUUGCAGUUGUGGUUACAAUCAAGAAGUUCCAGUUUUUACUCAUCCACCUUUUACCGAUGGAAUUCUUGGUCUGGGCAAUGGAAAAUCAAGCAUUGUAUCACAAUUGAGUGGCUUGGGUCUUAUCCGAAAUGUAGUGGGUCACUGUUUAAGUGGGCAAGGUGGAGGGUUUCUUUUCUUUGGCGAUGAUGUUCUUCCCUCAUCUGGAAUUGCUUGGACACCAAUCAUGCGAACAUCUUCCGAGUAUGUCCUCUGCUAUGUUAUAGGGAUUUAUAUGGAGCAAUUUGAACUUUCUGAGCAAGAUGUUGAUGUAUUACUAUGAUUUCAGAAAGCAUUACUCUUUGGGACCAGCAGAGCUCUUUUUUGAUGGACAGGCCACAGAAGUGAAGGGUUUUCCUCUAAUUUUUGACAGUGGAAGUACCUUCAGUUACUUGAAUUCUGAAGCUUACGAUAUUUUGGUAUCUUCGGUAAGAUGUGGAAGUGUUUUUAUAUUCGAAAUAGUUGACAUUCUGUCUGUGCACUUACAAUAAUCUAUCUUCAGAUAAAGAAAAACAUAAAUGCAAAGCAGCUGACUGAUGCAGUGGAUGACAAAAAGCCUUCCUGUGUGCUGGAAUGGUUCCAAAUCCUUCAAAUCUGUUAAUGAUGCCACGAGCUACUUCAAGCCAUUAACGCUGAGUUUCAUGAAAGCUAAGAAUGUUGAGCUUCAACUCCAGCCAGAGGCCUAUCUUAUACUUACGGUAUGCAACUUUUAAACUGCUCCAUUAUAUCUGGACUAUAUCAAUAACUGAUUUCUGCUCUUGUUCUCUCAGGAGCAUGGUAAUGUAUGCUUGGGCAUAUUGAAUGGUACAGAAGUUGGAUUAGGAAAUUAUAAUGUGAUUGGAGGUACAAAAUCAGUCUCCACCAGUGUCCUGUAAAUGAAUCCAUGCUUACUUGCAAGGUUGUGUUUUAACAUUUACAAAUAACGAUACAAUAGCAUCAACAAAAUGAAGAGAAAAUGCAGUUCUUUAUCUGCAUAAAUACUUGGGGGAAACUAGAUUUUGAUAAGAGUUGGUAUCCAAGUUCUUUGUGCAUUUAAUAAGCUUUCUGAUUAUUUUUUUCAUCUACAGAUAUUUCUCUACUGGACAAAAUGGUGAUAUACGAUAACGAGAAACAACGGGUUGGAUGGCUUCCAGCAAACUGCAAUAGGCUACCGUAUUCCCAUAACCUUUAUUUACAUUCUCUUGCUUCUCACAUUACUUGGAUAGUGUAUUCCUCACCAGAAAACAUUUUCAUUUCAUGAACAGCAUCAGUCGUGAUUAUGGAGAAGAUUAUUAUGAUGCAUACCCUACCAACAUGGGCAUAUUCGGACAGACAUGUCCUGCAAAGUUUGAUUCUUCGAAGCAGCAGGCAAGAAAAUAAGGUGACAAAGUGAAGCUAAUGUGGGCUUCGAGCCAUUUUCUGUACAUGUUGUAGAGUAACAACUAUAAUUGAUCAGUCAUUGGGAGUACAAACGUUUUACUGAAAUGUUCCCUAUGAUCUACACUAAGGGUAUAAGGUGUAUACCAAAUACAAAUAAUAGUACAGGUCUGGCGCACAUCACUAGUCAACGAAUCCUCUCCUGGCUUUGAGUCUUUCAGUUAGAUAUACACUUUGGUUCCCCAUCGUGAUUGCUGGUUGUAUGAAGUUUUGGCGAUAGACGAUGAGUUUACCAGUUGACGUUACAUCUGAAUUGAGUCAAUACACUAGGCUUAUACCUGCGAGAAAUGGAAACCAAAUAUGAG